rnacentral:lncRNA from 1 species
GAGAGUUGAUUGAUUCAACUCCCUAAGAAAAACAUUUUUAUGGAUUGGGUGUUUGCGUAAGAGGCCGGGACGGCGGUCCAGUGAAGGGCUAUUUGGGUAUUAUUGAAAUAUGAUAAUACUUUGCUGCCAAAGGCCAAUGUGUUGCCUUAUAUUUGGUACCUGUGAAUUAGGACAUGCUUCUAUGAAGUGUGAUCCCGUGCUAUCACACGGGCUGAUCAGCUGUGAUAGUACACCCGUCAGUGGAAGUUUCAAUCAAAAUUUAUGAUUUGAUUACUUAAGCUAAUAUUGCUUUUGUUUUCCAUUAGAUACUAUUGUUUCUUAUCUCUUUACUUCUAGAAGGAUAGCACUCAUUAAUGCUUUACAUUUAAGCAUUAUAUAUAUAUAUAUAUAUAUAUAUAUAUAUAUAUAUAUAUAUAUAUAUUGUUUCGCCUUCUAGUUGCUCAUUCUUGCUUUGUUGUUGCUGUGCUAAUCUUUCAGCUGGACUUGGUUAUGCCGAGAAUGCGUCUUCCCGCAAGGAAGAGGGUGCCACUUAACCAUCCCCAAUUGUUCAGGUUUCAUCUUCCCGCACAGGUAGGAAGAACCUAAGGAGUACAUAGAACUUUUGUAGUGUGUAAUAAAAUAUGAAUUAGUCAUAAAACUUAUCUAGACUUUGGAGGAUUUGUGUAGUUUCCUGUAGAAGUUAUUCUAAUCUAGUGUGUAGUGUGUAAUCACAUAAUGGUUUUAUUUAGUGCUUGUUUCAUAUCAUAAGUUGUGUACGAUCCAGUUGCAUGUACGGGUCAUAUUAUUGUCUUAUAAUAUUAGCAUUUUAUUCCGCUGGGCAUAUUAUAUUAUUGUGAGUCAGGUUGUGACCCCCAAAUCGAGACCCCUGAUUUGGAGGGCGUCACAUCCCCGACGAGGGCUACUCGUCAAAAUCCAUAACAAGGUCUUCUUUAGUCUUCGUCCUCUACCUCCGAAGGACGAUAGCUCAUCAGAAUACAAGGUAGGUAUUCAACAAUUAAUAGUAGAUUCUAUCCAUACUUAAUGGUGUCCCUCUAAGUACAACAUUUUCCUUCCUACCCUUUUAAUUUUCAUAUAAAUCAUUCUUACAUAAACAAGCCAAAUGUAUCGUUCUCCUUCAAACAGGGCGCUCCCUCAUUGGAGGUCUUCCUGGGAGGAGUCAGAUAUAUGAGCACUGAGACACCCUCCAAAUCCGGGUCAUAGACUUGGGGGUCACGCAACAAUAUAAACCUGUAAACCAUAAUAAUAUAUGCAUUGACCCUAAACAUCCACGGAUCGCUCCAGGUUAUAGUAUGAAACAAGCCACAACUUAAGUUAUUAUAUUAUAAUACGUCAAAUCCCAAUUCAUAUCUUACAACUUACACACAUAAAACGCAGUGCUUACACACAACGAUACUCAAAAGUUUAUAAUAUCAGCAACUCCUAGCAAGGCUUCCCAACACUCAUCCUGAUACCUUAGCUUGAUGGCUAGCCUGUGGGUCCUCGCUAACAGUAGUCUCUUUCUUCACUGGAAAAGAACAUAAGGCAUCGCAAGAGUGAGCUUACAGCUCAGCAAGUAAUAUAAACAAUAAACUGAAGUUCAACAUUUAUCCAUAAGAAUGAAACAAGAUAUCAAAUUUCUUUUUAAAGCAGUGAUUAGAAUUGGAUAUUCAUAUUUUUAUUUAAAAACCAAGGUUAGGCUGCUGAUCAGUCACGCACUAACCCCGAGCCAGGUACAUACCAAGCUCUAUCACUGGAUCCAAGGCACACAUUGGCCUAAUGACCACGAUUCUGGUCUGACCACGAAUCUGGUCCACAUUUAUAAAACCAUCCAAUUCUUUAACAAUAUAAUGAAAUCAACAAUAUCUCAAUAAAUCAGAAUCAAUCCCAUUUGAACAGAAGCAAUAUUACCAAAACAGAAUCAUAAUCGUCAAAUCAGAAUCAUUAUAAUUAGUGGUGCAAUACAUAUCAGGAUCAAAGGACAAUUCAGAAGUAGGUUUAAGUAUCCUCACAAUAUGUUUGAAGAAUGUCUUGAGGUUGAAAGAAAGAUCAAGUAUAUGGUGAAGCUAAUCUGAGGUUUUGUAGAGAAAACAAUGUAAGUGAGAAUAGCUUGAGGUUUCAAAUAUGUUUAACUUGUAGGAAUUUCAAGUGUUAGGGUGUAUAUGUGUGAACAUUCUUCAAAAGAGUAAUAUAGGUAUUUGGUAAGACAUUGUAUAAUUUGGUGAAGUAUUGUAGCAUAUAGGCUUGUACUGUUUGGUCAUUCAAGGAUGGAAGAAUAUCAGAGCAAAUGAUUUGUGUUGUCAAGUCUCAAAGAAAUGGGUAUAAGUUUAAUUGAAAUCAAAAUCAAGGUUCAGCUUGUAAUUCAGGUGUUGAAAGGAUUGAAUAAGGUUUAUCAAUAAUCAGGAUCAAUAGCACAAUAUAGCCACAGAUGCAUUUCCAAGUUCAUCCAGGAUAACAACAUCAUAUACAGAAGAGUGACUCAUGGAAUUUACAGAAGUAUAAGUUGAGAAUAGAGCACUUGCCUUAUUUGGAAGAUUUACUUCUCUUUAUAGCUUUCACUAAACAGAAUCACUCCAAUACUACUUGCUUUCCUUUCCUAAGCCUGUUCUUCUCUGAUUAUCACAAUAUUCAUCUAUCAAUACUCAAUCUCAUAUCAUUCUAUUUGUUUCAUAAUCGAAACAAGUUUCUAGCUACCUUUCGUUUCACUUAAAUCCGAUAGACGGUUCAAAAGAUACUAAUAAAACAGGCAUACAAUGUUUACAUAAGCAUUUCACAUAUCAAUCAAGUAACACAUAGCACAUAACACAUAAGUUAAUUAAUAAAAUAGCCUUUCAGAAAAGGCUUGGGGUUAAAAAUGAUUUUUCAGGUAUUUAUUAUGAAUUUUUAAACAUUUUUCGGAAUAAAAUCGGGUAAAAGAACCAAUUUAUACUUAAAUAAACGAGUUCGAAUACUCAUAAUAAGGUUCGAAAUCAUUUGAAAUCAAUUAACAAACCUUCAAUAUACUUUAGAAUAAUUUUCUAAAGCUUGAAACUAUUUUUCUGGAUUUUUAAAACAAUUAAAACAAUUAAAUCUAAUUAAUAAAUCAAUUAAAAUCAAUUAAUAAAUAAUUAAAACAAUUAAUCAAUUAAUAUUUAAAUUAAUUGACUAAUUAUAAUAAUUAGUUACUAAUUAAAGUUAAUUAAUAAAUUAAAUUAGAUUUGUUUUUGAAUAAAGAAAUAAUUAAAAACUAUUUUUGAAAAUAAUUAAAUGAUUUUCGAAAUUAAAAGAAUUUAAAAUAAAUCAGUUUUUAAAAGUUUUAAAACUUCAAGGUUUAAACUGCAAGUUUUUGAAACUUAAAGGUUUGAAUCGCAAGUUUUAAAACUACAGUGCUAAACUUUCAUCAUCUUCAAAAGUUCAGGGGAUAAACUGUAAAAAUUACGGCCGCCGCCCCCGAACCGCCGUCGGUCGCCAGAGGGGGAGUUCCCGGCCUCCGUUGGCGCUCAAAAAGUGCAGAUCGGCUCUCCAAGCCACCAGGAAUCUAUUCAUACAAUCAAUUUGAUCAACCAAGCUGUGGUUUGGCCGGAAAAUGGCGACGGCGAGUUUUCUUUCCUUCGAUUCCGGCCAUCCCGACACCUCACCCUACUUCUGAUACCACCAGUCGACUCCUCUACACAUCCCCAAUCUAUUCCACACUUCAAUUUACCCUUCUAACUCCAGAAUAACAAAACCCCAAUUUCCAAUUAAAAACAUUCAAACGGCUAUAAACCCUAAUUCCUAAUUCGAACAAUUAAACUCAAUUUUGAACAUGUUAUUGAACUCCAAAUCAUGCAUAUGAUAUACCAAAAUGAUCAGGAGAAGAUUAUCUACAACAUGAAAGCAUAAAAUCACAUAAAACACAUCAAAAUCAAAAAGCCCUAAUUUAACCCUAGUUAAUUCGAAUCGAAUUUAAAAACCCUAAUUACUUCUAACCUGUGAAUCUAGAGUGGUUUUUGAUGCUUGAUAUGGAUUCUACGCUUUGAUAUCUUCAAUUUAACUCCAAGAACACGAAGAACGAUAACUCGGUUUCUCUCGAUUCUCGUGUAUUGAAAUGAUAAUUAUGAAAAAUAAAAUAAUAAUUAUCCUAUUUAUAAUUACGAAUAACUGGCCCCCAUUUGGAUCAUACCGGACAUAAAAUACACUUCUUAAUCAUUAAGUAUUAAUAAAACUGAUCCGUUCGGGACCGACUUUGAAGAUAAAUAUUAAAUACACACAUUACGAGAAACUUAUGGGGCUCCGAGCUUUGUCUGGCACGAAGUACGAAAAUAUAAUGUUUGAGUCAAGAUAAUUUGGGUUGUUAAAAUUAUCCGGUGUACACAAUUAUUGAUACGAUAAAUAAUAAUAAAAUAUUCAUAAAAUCGUUCCGAAAAUCUUUCACGUAAAUCCUUACACCAGAUGGGAAAAGUUAAAACACGAAAGUUGUUCAGAAUGUCUCAAAUAACAAACCGGCGAAACUUUCCCGGAAGCCCCCCGGGGUUUAAUUAUCGAGUAAACGGGUUUAAAAUCAAUUUAAUAAUAAUAUUUUAUAAUAUACUUAAUUAAAUCCUUAAAUCAAAUAUCAAAUCAUAUAAUAAUCCAUAAUUUGCCAAAUGAGUGCCUAAAUUCUCCAUAUUUUGAUCUGAUCAUACAAAAAUUAUAAUUUAACAAGUCAUAACAUACAUAGACGAUCAUUCAACAAGUCACUUAACAUAUAAUUCACAAUUAAUUCACAUAAUAUUCACAAAAUAUUUACAUACUGGUAUAAAUAAACACAUGUCGAAAUCCCGGAUAUUACAUCCUUCCCCCCUUAAAAGGAUUCUGUCCUCAGAAUCUGCUAAGAAAAUAAGUGAGGAUAUUUCUCACACAUAUCACUUUCUAACUCCCAAGUUGACUCUUCAACUUUUGGGUUUCUCCACAAUACUCUCACUAUUUUCACCACUUUAUUCCUUAACACUUUCUCCUUCCUAUCUAGAAUCUCUAUUGGAUUCUCAACAUAAGACAAAUCUGCCUGAAGCUCUACUGGCUCGUAUUCUAUCACAUGCCUAGAAUCUGGAUGAUACUUCUUAAGCAUUGACACAUGAAAGACGUUGUGAAUAUGCUCCAUAUGUGGGGGUAACGCUAACUCAUAAGCCACUUUACCAACGCGCCUCAAGAUCUCGAAUGGUCCGACGUAUCUGGGACUUAGCUUUCCUUUCUUGCCAAAUCGGGAUAGUCCUUUCCAUGGCGAAAUCUUCAGUAAUACAGGUUCUCCUUCUUCAAAUUCCAUAUCCUUCCUGGCUUGAUCCGCGUACUUUCUCUGACGAUUCUGUGCUGCAAUCAGUCUUCUUUGAAUGGUUUCAAUAACUUCCUUCGUCUGCUGAACUAGUUCUGGCCCAAGUAGUUUGCGUUCUCCUACUUCAUCCCAACAUACGGGUGAGCGACAUUUACGUCCAUAAAGAGCUUCAUAAGGAGGCAUUCCGAUGCUUGCAUGAUAACUGUUGUUGUAUGAGAAUUCCACUAACGGUAGAUGUUCGUCCCAAUUGCCUUUAAAAUCGAUAGCACAAACACGUAGCAUAUCCUCGAUUGUUUGAAUAGUCCUUUCACUCUGACCAUCAGUUUGUGGAUGAUAAGCAGUGCUCAUAUUCAAUCUGGUGCCCAAGCAUUCCUGAAAGCUCUUCCAGAAUCUCGAGUUGAAUCGUGGAUCUCGAUCGGAUACAAUGGAGACUGGAACUCCGUGACGAACGACGAUCUCCUUCAGAUACAUAUGGACUAACUUGUCUAAUGAGAAUCUUUCGUUAAUGGGAAGGAAAUGAGCUGACUUAGUUAGUCUAUCUACAAUAACCCAUAUGGCAUCGUGAUUUGCCCUCGUUCUAGGUAAUCCAACUAUAAAAUCCAUCGCAAUAUGCUCCCAUUUCCAUUCUGGAAUCUCUAGGGGUUGUAACAAUCCACUCGGUCGCUGGUGUUCUGCCUUCACUCUUUGACACGUAUAACAUUUAUUUACCCACUCUGCAAUCUCUCUCUUCAUAUCUGGCCACCAAUAAUUCUCUUUCAAAUCUCUAUACAUCUUAGUGCUCCCAGGGUGAAUUUUAUAAGCGGAACUAUGUGCUUCACUUAAAACUUCAUCCUUUAACUCCUGUACUGGUGGAAUCCAUAUUCUAGAAGAAAAUCUUACAAUACCUUGCUCGUCUUUCUGGGUGCAUAGCUCUUCCCCAACCAAAUUAUUAACAUCCUGUUCCAUUACGGUCUCUUGACAUUUCCUUAUCUUUUCUAGUAACUCUGGUCGAAAAGUCAUUGUAUAUAAUCCAGCUUCUGAGGGUUCUCUCACUCUAACUUCCAAUUCCAGCCUUUCGAAUUCUCUAUAUAUUUCCUUGGGUAACGUCAAUACAUUCAAUCUCUCCUUUCUACUCAAAGCAUCUGCCACUACAUUUGCUUUUCCGGGGUGAUAAUUGAUAGUGCAAUCAUAAUCCUUUAUCAAUUCUAACCAUCUCCUCUGCCUCAUAUUAAGCUCUUUCUGCGUAAAGAUAUACUUUAAACUUUUAUGAUCCGUGUAGAUUUCGUACUUUUCUCCAUAUAAAUAAUGUCUCCAAAUCUUCAAUGCAAACACUAUGGCUGCUAACUCUAAAUCAUGUGUAGGAUACUUCUGCUCAUGGGGUUUGAGUUGUCUGGAUGCAUAAGCAAUGACUUUGUCAUGUUGCAUCAACACACAACCCAAUCCCUUAUGAGAAGCAUCACUAUAAAUUACAAAAUUUCCUUGUUCAUCUGGAAAUGAUAACACUGGGGCUGAUACUAACCUUUUCUUCAAUUCCUGGAAACUUUCUUCACACUUUUCAGUCCACACAAACUUUUCUUCUUUCCGGGUAAGCCUUGUCAUUGGUACAGCAAUCCUUGAGAAAUCUUGAACAAAUCUUCUAUAAUAACCUGCCAAACCCAAGAAACUUCUAACUUCUGUUGGUGUCCUUGGCCUUUCCCAAUUCAUAAUUGCCUCAAUCUUGGAGGGAUCUACUUUAAUUCCUUCUUUACUGACUAUAUGACCUAGAAAUUGAACCUCUUGUAACCAGAAUUCACACUUUGAAAACUUAGCAUACAGCUUCUCUCUUCUCAAUAUCUCUAAAGCCAUCCUUAGGUGGGUUGCAUGAUCCUCAGUGGUUUUGGAAUAAAUCAAAAUAUCAUCUAUGAAUACAAUCACAAAUUUAUCCAAAUAUGGUUUAAAGACUCUGUUCAUUAAAUCCAUAAAAGCUGCGGGGGCAUUGGUUAAUCCAAAGGCCAUCACUAAAAACUCAUAGUGGCCAUAUCGGGUUCUAAAAGCUGUUUUAGGUAUAUCUUCUUGUUUAAUCUUUAGCUGAUGGUAUCCCGAUCUUAAAUCAAUCUUCGAAAAACAUCUCGCUCCCUUCAAUUGAUCAAACAAAUCAUCUAUACGGGGUAAUGGGUAUCUAUUCUUAAUAGUUAACUUAUUAAGUUCCCGGUAAUCAAUACAUAACCUCAUACUACCAUCCUUCUUCUUCACAAACAACACUGGUGCUCCCCACGGGGAUACACUGGGUCUAAUCACUCCCUUCUCUAACAAAUCUUGUAACUGGGUUGCCAAUUCUUUCAUUUCUACUGGUGCCAUUCUAUAUGGGGCUUUAGAUACUGGUUCGGUUCCAGGUGCUAAAUCUAUUGCAAAUUCAAUUUCUCUAUCUGGAGGUAAUCCGGGUAACUCAUCUGGAAAUACAUCUGGGAACUCGUUUACUACAGGAAUAUCUUCAAGCUUCACAAGUUCUCGACUCUGAUCAGUUACAUAUGCUAUAUAAGCUUCACAACCUUGACGCAACAAUCUCUUCGUUUGAAUCAUAGUCAAAAACUUCUUUACCUGUUUCUGCCCUCGAAAUACUAUCGUCUUCUCAUUCGGUGUUUUUAACAUCACCUUUUUACUACGACAAUCUAUCUGAGCAUUAUGCUUCGAUAACCAAUCCAUCCCUAAAAUAACAUCAAACUCUCCCAACUUGAAAGGUAUCAAGUCGGCACAAAACUUAUUUCCUAAGAUCUCAACUUCACAAUUCCUAUAAACUUGGCUAACAGGGACACGUUCCUGAUUAGCCAACUCUAUAUUCAUAACCUCAUUAAGCAAUUCUAUAGGACAAUUCAACUUAGCCACAAAAUCUUCAGAAAUAAACGAUCUAGUAGCUCCACAAUCAAUCAAAACCUUGGCACAUAAAGAAUUCACAGUAAGCGUACCUGCCACCACAUCUGCAUCCUGGACUGCAUCUCUCAUAGUCAUGUUGUAGGUUCUGGCUUUAGGAACUUCUGGGACUACUGGAGUGGAUCCCAUAAUUCUAAGUGUAGGGUUACUUGGAGCUGGUACCUUGCAAUCCUUCACCAUGUGUCCUGGUUUUCCACACCUAAAACAUGUUAUCCCAGCUGCUGGAGUCCUAUUGGGUUGGUUCCUUGCUGGUUGAUCUCGAAUCAUUGGGGUCCGUGCUGGUGGGUUCUGACAUUCCCUAGAAUAGUGUCCCUUCUGAUUACACUUAUAACACACUACAUUCAAUCUAUUACAGAUUCCCCCGUGUCUCUUUCCACAUAUCUGGCACUCCGGCACUGGAGGCCUUGGUUGAUUUCCAAUAGCUGGACGGUUACCUUGUCCACUACCACCUACAUCUGGCUUCUUAAAAAUGGGAUUUCUCCCCUGCUGAAAUUUCCCUUUCUUCGGGUUGUUAAAGUUCUGAAACCUUGCCUGCUGAAACUGUCCCUCGUGAUGCUCUGGUUUACACUUCUUUCCCUCUUUCUCUUUCUGAGACAUUUCGCUUUCCGUUUCCGCUAUCAUUGCCUUCUGCACUACAGCUGCAUAAGUAUCUAAUUCCAAUAUGGCUAGCUUUCCCCUGAUCCAUGCUUUUAAACCCUGUUGGAAUCUCUUAGCUCUUUUCCUGUCGGUAUCUACAUAGGUUGAAACAAACCUAGCCAACUCAGCAAACUUUUUCUCAUACUCAGCCACUGACAUGUCCCCUUGCUUCAAUUCUAAAAACUGUAACUCCAUUCGAUCCUGGAGAAAUUGAGGAAAGUAUUUCUCCAAAAACAACUCCUUAAACCUAUCCCAAGUAACAUCCUCUGUCCCUUCCAUUGCUCUCACAGACUCCCACCAAUAGGUGGCCUCCUCUUUCAAAUAAUAACUAGCAAACUCAGUCUUCUGCUCAUCUCUCACUUUAACUAACACAAAUGCCUUUUCAAUUUCCUUCAACCAUAUCCUAGCCUCAAUAGGGUCCGCUGAACCCUUAAACUCUGGGGGAUUAACAGACUGAAAGUUUUUGAAAGUAACCUGAGGGUUAGCCUGCCUCUCCUGCUGCUGAGUCAGGUUGGCAGUCUGUUGGGCCAAGAUCUAAAGAAUCUGGGCCAUUGUAGGUUCUGGAUUGUUAUCAUCACGGUUGUUUGCACGGUUUUGUCUUCUGGGAGGCAUAGCUCUGUAAAGAAACAAGUAAUUUGUUUAAUCUCUAAAACCUUUAACAAUCGUUUUUAGAAAACAGAAUAUUUCUUUUUGAAAACAUUUUUAAUCAUUUAAUUAAAUAAAUCACAUGCUUCUUUACAGAACAGAGUGAUGAUGAAAGAAACAAGGUUUAUAUCAGGUACAAUUGGCAAGAUAAAUAAAACAAGUGCAAUAUGUAAAGUAAGUAAAACAGAUGCAAUAAGGUAAAAGACAAUAUGAAAAGGAAAGUUCUGAUAUAUAUAAAGAGUUGGAGGUACAUCAGCGCAAGCGCUUGUCAAAAGUAAAGCAGAACAUCCAACCUACACACUAGUCAGCACCGCUAGUCUAUACAGGGUCAAAAUUGGCUGACUAUAUACUACACACUACACACUAAUAUACAUGGUACCACCACUCUAUAACUACCACUAUCUAACUCCAAGGAAAAGUAGGACCUCCAAGCUUGUCCAACUCCUUCAUCAUCCAUAUGGCCCACUCUACUAGAUCACCGUAGGUACCCUGAUCUUCAGCUGCGGCACUAAGCUUUGCCCUUGCGAUCUCCCUGACGGUCACAAUCUCCUGCCUCAGCUCUCGCUCAGCUCUACCAGGGUCCAUCAUCUGGAUAACACGCUCUAACUCCCUAACCUGCCCAAGAAGGUACUGGCGCUCCAUCCUCAUCGCCUCAUACUCAUGGUAAGGAACAGGGUGCUGUGCAGUACGAAAGGAGGUAUGAACAGAGGAACCUCGGGUGGAACUGGGAGUACUGGGUGGGGGUCCAGGUAUGAAAGGCCUAGCACGAGAGGUCGAGGCUAUGUCUCCGGGAGGAACUACUGCUGCUGCAGCCAACACCUCCUCCAAAGUGGGUGAAACAGGAGGGCGAGGCUCUGGUACCUGAGGGGGUGGGGGUCCAUUAACAGUGGUGUCUGAAUGCUGGGGAUAUAGGGGAAUGAUAGGGUCUGACAUCGUGAAUACCUGAAAGUCAUAUGAUAAAACAUAUAUAAGAAUCCCUGAUAGCAAGAACACCUGUUAGUCACUAUUACUCACCUCUCAACAUUCUAUCUACCUAUCACUCACUUCUAAUCUUAACCCCUCUACCCAAACCCGAUAAUCUAGGCUUGUUUCAUUGACUCAUAACCUGUAGCUCUGAUACCAACCUGAGACACCCUCCAAAUCCGGGUCAUAGACUUGGGGGUCACGCAACAAUAUAAACCUGUAAACCAUAAUAAUAUAUGCAUUGACCCUAAACAUCCACGGAUCGCUCCAGGUAAUAGUAUGAAACAAGCCACAACUUAAGUUAUAUUACAAUACGUCAAAUCCCAAUUCAUAUCUUACAACUUACACACAUAAAACGCAGGGCUUACACACAACGAUACUCAAAAGUUUAUAAUAUCAGCAACUCCUAGCAAGGCUUCCCAACACUCAUCCUGAUACCUUAGCUUGAUGGCUAGCCUGUGGGUCCUCGCUAACAGUAGUCUCUUUCUUCACUGGAAAAGAAUAUAAGGCAUCGCAAGAGUGAGCUUACAGCUCAGCAAGUAAUAUAAACAAUAAACUGAAGUUCAACAUUUAUCCAUAAGAAUGAAACAAGAUAUCAAAUUUCUUUUUAAAGCAGUGAUUAGAAUUGGAUAUUCAUAUUUUUAUUUAAAAACCAAGGUUAGGCUGCUGAUCAGUCACGCACUAACCCCGAGCCAGGUACAUACCAAGCUCUAUCACUGGAUCCAAGGCACACAUUGGCCUAAUGACCACGAAUCUGGUCUGACCACGAAUUUGGUCCACAUUUAUAAAACCAUCCAAUUCUUUAACAAUAUAAUGAAAUCAACAAUAUCUCAAUAAAUCAGAAUCAAUCCCAUUUGAACAGAAGCAAUAUUACUAAAACAGAAUCAUAUUCGUCAAAUCAGAAUCAUGAUAAUUAGUGGUGCAAUACAUAUCAGGAUCAAAGGACAAUUCAGAAGUAGGUUUAAGUAUCCUCACAAUAUGUUUGAAGAAUGUCUUGAGGUUGAAAGAAAGAUCAAGUAUAUGGUGAAGCUAUUCUGAGGUUUUGUAGAGAGAACAAUGUAAGUGAGAAUAGCUUGAGGUUUCAAAUGUGUUUAACUUGUAGGAAUUUCAAGUGUUAGGGUGUAUAUGUGUGAACAUUCUUCAAAAGAGUAAUAUAGGUAUUUGGUAAGACAUUGUAUAAUUUGGUGAAGAAUUAUAGCAUAUAGGCUUGUACUGUUUGGUCAUUCAAGGAUGGAAGAAUAUCAGAGCAAAUGAUUUAUGUUGUCAAGUCUCAAAGAAAUGGGUAUAAGUUUAAUUGAAAUCAAAAUCAAGGUUCAGCUCGUAAUUCAGGUGUUGAAAGGAUUGAAUAAGGUUUAUCAAUAAUCAGGAUCAAUAGCACAAUAUAGCCACAGAUGCAUUUCCAAGUUCAUCCAGGAUAACAACAUCAUAUACAGAAGAGUGACUCAAGGAAUUUACAGAAGUAUAAGUUGAGAAUAGAGCAUUUGCCUUAUCUGAAAGAUUUACUUUUCUUUAUAGCUUUCACUAAACAGAAUCACUCCAAUACUACUUGCUUUCCUUUCCUAAGCCUGUUCCUCUCUGAUAAUCACAAUAUUCAUCUAUCAAUACUCAAUCUCAUAUCAUUCUAUUUGUUUCAUAAUCGAAACAAGUUUCUAGCUACCCUUCGUUUCACUUAAAUCCGAUAGACGGUUCAAAAGAUACUAAUAAAACAGGCAUACAAUGUUUACAUAAGCAUUUCAUAUAUCAAUCAAGUAACACAUAGCACAUAACACAUAAGUUAAUUAAUAAAAUAGCCUUUCAGAAAAGGCUUGGGGUUAAAAAUGAUUUUUCUGGUAUUUAUUAUGAAUUUUUAAACAUUUUUCGGAAUAAAAUCGGGUAAAAGAACCAAUUUAUACUUAAAUAAACGAGUUCGAAUACUCAUGAUAAGGUUCGAAAUCAUUUGAAAUCAAUUAACAAACCUUCAAUAUACUUUAGAUGGUAUUUAUUAUGAAUUUUUAAACAUUUUUCGGAAUAAAAACGGGUCAAAGAACCAUUUAUAAAUAAACAAUCCAUUUCUGGAUACUCGAAAUCACGUCCGAAAUCAUUUGAAAUCAAUUAACGAGCUUCAAUCAUAUUUUAGAAUAAUAUUUUUAAAGACUCGAAACUAUUUUUCAGAAUUUUAAAAUCAUUUAAAAUUAUUUAAAAUAAUUAAAUCUAAUUAAUAAAUCAAUUAAAAUCAAUUAAUAAUUAAUUAAAACAAUUAAUCAAUUAAUAAUUAAAUUAAUUGACUAAUUAUUAUAAUUAAUUACUAAUUAAAAUUAAUUAAUAAAUUAAAUCAGAUUUAUUUUUGAAUUAAUAAAUAAUUAAAAACAAUUUUUGAAAUUAAAAUAAAUGAUUUUCGAAAUUAAAUUUAAAUCAAAAAUCAUUUUUUUAAAACUUUUUAAAAAUCCAGGGUUUGAAUUGCAAGUUUUGAAAACUACAGGGUUUGAUUUGCAACUUUGGAAACUUCAGGGGUCUAAAUGUCAAAAAUGAAACUUGGGUGGCUAAACUUCACCACCUCCAAAAGUCCAGGGGCCAAACUGCAAUUUUGCAGCCGCCGCCCCUCGGCUUCGCCGGAGGUGGCGAUUCCGGCCACCAAUAGCCUCCAAAUGGUGCAGAUAUGGAGUAUCAAGCCUCCCAACUCAUCCAUACAAUCAAUUUCACCAGAAACGGCAGGAGAAGAUUAUCUACAACAUGGAAGCAUAAAAUCACAUAAAACACAUCAAAAUCAAAAAGCCCUAAUUUAACCCUAGUUAGUUCGAAUUUAAAAACCCUAAUUACUUCUAACCUGUGAAUCUAGAGUGGUUUUUGAUGCUUGAUAUGGAUUCUACGCUUUGAUAUCUUCGAUUUGACUGCUUGCACGCUCGAUUCUGACUCCGAUAACGUCCUCAAAUCUUCGAUUGAACUCCAAGAACACGAAGAACGAUAACUCGGUUUCUCUCGAUUCUCGUGUAUUGAAAUGAUAAUUAUGAAAAAUAAAAUAAUAAUUAUCCUAUUUAUAAUUACGAAUAACUGGCCCCCAUUUGGAUCAUACCGGACAUAAAAUACACUUCUUAAUCAUUAAGUAUUAAUAAAACUGAUCCGUUCGGGACCGACUUUGAAGAUAAAUAUUAAAUACACACAUUACGAGAAACUUAUGGGGCUCCGAGUUUUGUCUGGCACGAAGUACGAAAAUAUAAUGUUUGAGUCAAGAUAAUUUGGGUUGUUAAAAUUAUCCGGUGUACACAAUUAUUGAUACGAUAAAUAAUAAUAAAAUAUUCAUAAAAUCGUUCCGAAAAUCUUUCACGUAAAUCCGUACACCAGAUGGGAAAAGUUAAAACACGAAAGUUGUUCAGAAUGUCUCAAAUAACAAACCGGCGAAACUUUCCCGGAAGCCCCCCGGGGUUUAAUUAUCGAGUAAACGGGUUUAAAAUCAAUUUAAUAAUAAUAUUUUAUAAUAUACUUAAUUAAAUCCUUAAAUCAAAUAUCAAAUCAUAUAAUAAUCCAUAAUUUGCCAAAUGAGUGCCUAAAUUCUCCAUAUUUUGAUCUGAUCAUAUAAAAAUUAUAAUUUAAGAAGUCAUAACAUACAUAGACGAUCAUUCAACAAGUCACUUAACAUAUAAUUCACAAUUAAUUCACAUAAUAUUCACAAAAUAUUUACAUACUGGUAUAAAUAAACAGAUGUCGAAAUUCCGGAUAUUACAAGCACGCCUAUAUAUUGUCUAACCCAAUCUUAUGUGUCAGCCCAACUAGCACAUCUUCCUCUCCUAUCAGGAUUUGGCCCGCAAAGCAGGUCUUGAAUAUUUUUGAGUAUAACAACAACCCCUUGAUCUUGGUGGCAUCAGAAAUGUUGGCGAGAUCUAUUGUACUUCUCAGCUACAAAGUCCUCUUGUUUUGUUAAUUUAGAAACAUGUGAAAUUGUGAGCGCCCUCUAACUUGGCACGCCCCGUCUUGUGUACCGCUAGAAAUCUUUGGUUGGCCAACAGCUAUACCAUAUUUGUAAGAACUUAGAUUUAUUUUUCGUACCCUUUAUUUCAGUGAGUAUAAAUAUCCUCAGUUAUUUUCCACUUCUUCAUUUCUUUCAAAAAUCUAUACUUUUCCUACGCAACGUUGUCGUCACACAUUUCCGAGCUUUUCCGGCAAUCUCUGUGCUCCACUACAAGCUUUGCUAUCGUGGAUCGAUUCUCCUCUUCAUAAGGUACACUCUCAUACAUUUACUUCAAGUGUUCACCAAGUAGAUUGCUAGCUUCACGCAUUUGCCUUUUCACAUUCUUCACUGUUCUUGAUCCCUAUAUGUAUAUGUCGUAUAUGCGUAUCUGCUUGAUCCGUUUUUUCUAGUACUUAAUUUCAAAUUUGUGUUUGUGAUAACUGUUAUCUAGUAACUUGUCACGACUUGAUUUAAGACGCACCUUAUCUUAUAGGAUAUAUUCUCUUUGACUUGAUACCUCAUCAUAACAUCAUGACUUGCAUCGACUAGCUAUUAGAUCGCGCAUUGAUUUAUCAUAAUAAUAAUUACUAGGUCUUUCUUGAUGCCAUCAUUACAUUUCUUCUUUAUUUUCUUGAUACAUGACGUGCCCACAUCACCGCCCUUCCUUCACUUUUGCAGUUGGCUAAUCAAGGUUCGCCGUCUCAUCUGUUCCUCGUUCCUCUCUUUUCCUUGCCUCGUCCUUUUGCUUUCAUCGAAGACGGACUCCCUUCGUUUCUAAAGAUAUAUCGUUCUGAGUCAAUUACAAAUUCAUGACUAAGAGUGAAGCUUCAUCUCUUGAGCUUCAUGAGACCGGUCCCUAGACAUAGAUCUCAUCCUUGAUCAAGACGAAGAGGUCACUCGCAGCAGCUAUCGUUGAGGACGAACAUAUAUCAUCGUGACUGGUGAUGAGGAUUCUGAAGAUGUGCCUGAUAACGAGGCGGGGUCAGAUAAAUACGAAGUGGCUGACGCUCAAGCUGAAGAAGAAGCUCACACCUUUUACCAUGCCCUGGAUGAGGAUAAGGAGCGCCUUCCUUCCCUAAAACCAUCUCAUAGACCCUAUGCUUACCCUCCAAUUUCUAAUAGUGAGCUCAAUUUUGAAUGGGAUGAAAAUCAAGUCAUUCCCGAGACUGCUAAAGCUAAGAGAAGUUGUAAAGCAUAAUGUAACGUAAAUGUAAUUACGAUAACUCAACACAACAAAAGACAGGAAACAAUACGUAAGUAUAUUACAGGAAUCUACAGGUUGGAGAUUCGAUACGAACAGACAAAGACAAUCAAGAUAUCUGAGACGAGCAUCCGUCCACUGGAAGAAGUUCAUUAACAUGUUCAAGCCUCAGUGAAGAAUAAAGUUCAAUGUGUUUCUGCUAUCAAGAUUGCCUGAAGAUCAAGUAUCAAAGACCAGAAGAUUCCAGUAUAUUUAAUUUGAUUAUUUAUAAUCAAAUUUAUCGAAGCAACAUCUAACCCGGAAUGACUGAUCAAGUAUAUUAUCAAGCAAAAGAAUUCAAGGGAUUAUUUCAGUUCGAGUCGUUCGUGAACCAGACCAGAGCACAGGACGUCAGCACGUACGAAUGUAUUCAAUGGAUUCGAUCAACGAAUUAAUUGAUCAAGUCAAUCGAGCUACUCCAGAAUAUAUUGUCAAAGAACUCAUUAUUAUGUAUAUGUAUAUAUAUAUAUAUAUAUAUUAAUUGUGAAUUACCUGAAUUUAAAUGAUUCAAGUAAUUAUAUUAACACAAUUAAUAAUAUACAUAUAUAUACAUAUAUAUAUAUAUAUAAUGAUGCAAAUUGUAGUCGAAGGCAAAUUUGUUUAAGUACAAAUACACAGGGGAGGCUCCAAUGGAUUUGGAGCGCAAACUUUGACCAAGUCAAAGUUUGCGCCUCCACAAUCCUUACACUUAGAAAUAUUCUAAGUCUCCACUGUCACACUGAAGAUGAAUGUUGUGGCGCAAAGUUUGACUUUGGUCAAAGCGCGAACUCAGCUGUUUUACUUAGAAGAAAUUCUAAGUACAAAAGCUCUAAUACAUCCACUGUAGAGCGCAACUAUUGACCAUCCUCAAGGCGCCAUGUUUGACCAAGAAGAAGGCGCAACAUUUGACCUUCUUAUAAUUCUUCUAAGUCACAUACACUGUUAAACACUACUGGCGCCAACUUUGACCGAGGCGCCAACUUUGACCACAGUGGAGAGAAUAUGUAUAUGGAGCGCAACUUUCAUAUACAUAUAUUUAUAUAUAUAUAUGUGUAUAUGAAAGUGGCGCCAUCUACAAUGCUUAUUGGAGUUAGAUUUAUUUUUAUAAAUCGAAUCCGUCCAAGACGAACUCAAGUCGUCCAAGACGAAUUCGUUAACCAUGGUUAGUUGUUGGAAAGCCUAUAAAUAGAGCUUGAUGUUUUCAUUUGAAAACAACUACACACUUUGUAAGUGCACACACUAUACACAUUCUCGAGAGUUAAAUUAGAAGAUCGUUUUUAUCGAGAGUUUGUAAUAGAGUGAUUGUAGUCUCUGCAGCCGACACUUGUGUUGGAAUUUGUAGCACCCGAGGAUUAUUUCUAAUACAAGAAUAUUCCCCGACUUGCUGGAGUUAUUUAUUUACGAUUGAUUUAACAUGGACUGAAACAAAGAUUAUCCGCAAUUAAAUUAAAUCGAAGAAAUUGGUACGACGUAUUCAACCCCCCCCCCUUCUACGUCUGAUUGGACCUAACAGAAGUAAGAAAGUGGGGAAGCUCGCUUGUGUGGGAUUUUCCUCCAUAGCAUCUGACACCGAGAUUGAAUGGUGGUGUCUUAAAUACUAUGAUAUGGGACGCAUCUGGGUGCUCCCACAUCCUAACAUAAAUACAACAUGUAUUUAACCAUAAUCCCAGAUUGAAAAUCCCAUGUACUUACUUCCAAGCUGGUAAAACUUGGUAUCGGUCUCCCCUACAUCAAUACUUCAAAUCUAUUAUUGAAUAUUUCGAUAUCGCCCCGACUCAAAUUUAUCCAAAUGGCUGGAAGCUUGCCAUUACUCUAUACAUGCUCUAUGAGGACCACAAUCAUUUUGAGCCCACGAUGUCGGACUUGAGCUACUUAUUCGGAUUGGGCACGACCAGUAUUGGUUAUUACUACUUGGUGGUAUGAAGAACUCACAAUCUCACUAGUUGGUUUGAGGGUAGUACUAGCAACACCAAAUCAUGAAAAUAACCUUUUUUUACGCCCGGCCAGACGAGCGGAUCAGGACGCAAUUUAACACUACUCCGAUUAAGUAUUUCAUAUGUUGGCAUGUCAUGAUUCGUCUUUACCAUUUACCGUUAGUCUUUUACUAGUUACUCAUUCCGUCAUUUUUUUUAAUUAACAAAAAAAAAGAAAAAAAGAAUGAGAAUUCAGUCCUUACUCGGUGCGCCAAGAAGCAUGCUGAUAACAUUAUAAAUCUUACAAGGCAAAGAUUAUUAACAAAACAAGAAAAUUUUCAUUCUUAGUUUAAAGUCCGAAUUUUAAACCAAGUCGAACCAUCUCUUAUCCACGAACUGUGCCUCACCGGGGGUGUUUGGCAAUAGCUUUUAAGCCCAGUUUCCGAGUUUAUAAGUUAUAAGCACUUAUUUGUACCGUUUGCGUAAAAAAUAAGAAGUACUUAAAAGAAGUUAGGAUUACUAGUUUUUGUUUCAGGACUUCUACUUAUUUUCCAAACAGUUUAAUUACUAAUAAGGGGCCGUUUGGAUGAGUUUAAAAUAAGUGCUUCUUGCUUAAAAUAAGUCUUAACUUGCUUCUGACUUCUACUUUAUUUUUAUACUUUAAGCAAAAAACACUUAUUUUAAUCUCACCCAAACGCCCCCUAAAUACUUUCCCUUUUUAUAAUUUUGAUAGCCCAACAAAAAAUAUUUAUGGUUGAUUGUCCGCACUCCACACCAUUCCCAAAAGCCCAAAAUUAUAUACAUGUAUAGUCACCGCCUACUAGACCACUCCAUGGUGUACACUGUACCCCAGCUUAUACAUACAUUACUACUGUAUAUACACACACAUAAAUACACGCUACCCUGUAACGCCGUUUCUGCAUACGUCACCAGCGUCUAUUCCUCUCCUUCUCCCACUUUCUUCUUUCAGUCCACCACUUUCUCUGCCACCAAAAUAAUAGUAAUAAACACACCUGCCUAUAUAUACACAUAUAUGUAAAUAUAUAAUUUGACAAGGGUCUUGUUUUAUUUUUGAAAGCUUUGUAGAGUUGUGAUGAAUCUUGGGUUUCUUGAAAUAUCUUGUUUCUUGAUGGAAUUCUGAGAUUUGGAGAAUUUGGGUCUCCAAGAUUUGGGAUUUGCUACAAGGGUUUGGAAGGUUUUGGAUUUUGAUGGCUAUUAGAGGAGUUGAUUUUAAGUGGUGAAUUCUUGUUCUUGGUUAAAAAUGUUGUUUUUUAACUUGUUUUUGUUGAUUUUUUUGUAAAAAUUGUGGGUUUUGCAGGUAUGAUGGUUUUUUCUUGUCAAUGCUUGCAACUAGUAUGUAUCCUUUAAGGACUUAGCUUGGAAUUAUUUAUAUAAUGUGUGUGUAUAAAUGCAUAUUAUUUUUCCAGUUUGUGAAUUGUCAAGUAGUUAUGUGUUUGUUGAACAAUUCACUUCCCUCUUUUAUGGUGUUGAGAAUUGAGUUUUUCUCUCUUUUAUAAUUUUGUUAGUUUCAUGUCAGUUAAAUUGACAUAUAUUAAAAUGAACAUAUAAUCUUAAACUUAAAGGUAUUUCUUUUCCAAUAAAGGACUCCUUUUCGGUCAUAAGGUUUUCUUUGUCAUUUUCAAUUUUAGUCACAGUAUAUAUUAUAGAUGAUCAAUAAAUAUUUGGGCGUGUUUAGGGCAAUGGUUGUUUAAGGCAUUGGCUUUGUAUUCUAGCAUGUAGUCUGCUGCCUUGGUAGGGCAUUUCUAGUAUUUGAUGACGCAUUGAUAGGGCAGUGGUUGUGGCAUUGGCAUUGAUUUUAGCAUGUAGUCGUCUGCCUUGGUAGUUUGAUGAUGCAUUGAUAACUUUUACCUUGCUGUGUACAUGUGUUUGUAAAGUGCUUCUGUUGGUUUCUUAACACGAUAACUACCAGAAUCAUUGUGGCGAUCAAUUGGAAGCGGUACCAUUAUUGUGAAUAUCCAUUGCAUAUAUGGAUUGUGGUGGGUAUUUUCGAAAACAUCUUGUAAAAUAUAUGUUUCUAGUAGCUUCUUACUUCACUCUACUAAGUUUAUAUAUCCAUCUUGCUUUACUGAACUUAUAGGUGGACUACACUACUGUGUUUGUUUUUCGGCUCCUCAUGUUUGUGGAUAAUGGCCUUGCCUCAGGAAUGGGAUUGUAAGGAUUCCUAUCUUAUUUACUUCUUUAAAAGUGGUGUAAAUGGUAGCUUAGUUAAGCACUCCCUUGCUCAAACAUACUGAGUAUCUUGUGGUAUUGGGUUGCUUCUGCUUUCAGACACGAUAAGCUGCUAACAAUCAAUAUAUUUGUUCGUAGAAAGCAACAUAGUUUCCAAGAGGGAAGCCUUAAAGGAAGAGCUUGCUCUUAUUUAACAAGCAAAUUUGUAUUGCGGAUUAAAGCAAAAUACAGUAUAUAAUAAGAAUGUCAGUUAGGAGCCUUGGGUUACAAUCUUCCCUAAGGCUUUAAUAGAAGUUUGCUGUACCCUUAUUUUGAAUAUCCUAUAUACUCUCUCAACUUGUUAAGUGAAAAUAUAACCGAAAUUGAGCAUACAGUAAUAUACCAAAAAAAGAGAGUAUACUCUAUCAACCAAUCCAAUGAGAAAUAGUCUAGGGAAAGUUCUGUGUUCUAAAACUACACUGGCUACAUAUAAAACACUAUGUUAUUUUUAUCUAAUAGGAAAUCAACUAACUCAGUUAAACAUAUCUUAUUCGACUCUUUUUUAAUGGCUAUAACUAAAUUUCCCUUUCCAUGUUUAUUAGGUUCCAAGUAUAUCCUAUUAGUAAUGCGAAUCAGACACAUCAAGUACAAGCCUGAAAUAAAAAAACUCUAUUUUCCAGAUUUCACAGAGGAAAAUGAAGUAAAAAGUCAAAUUAAAUGAGCUAAUUAUAGUUUUGUCACAAAACAUGAUUAUUAUCAUCAUCAUUAUUCAGGUGUUAGCUAUUCAUAUCUUUUCUGUCCUUAUACUACUGCUUUGUUUUGAGGCUGCAAGUUUUUUAGAGCUGUGGUACUGAGCUCACAUCUUUGUUUUAUUCUUCUGGUACUUUGGGUCCUGUGGUAGGGGUUCCGUGAUUUGUGUCUGGGAUUGAAGUUUCCAGUCUUUGGCUAAUUUUAUUUCUGUUUGCAAUUUGGAUUCUUUGUUUUUUGUUCAAGUGUAUAUAUCAUGUUGCUAAUAGUAGAGUAUAAGUUCAUUAAAAUUAACCUAGCUUGAAUUAAAUCAACAUGAUCCAACUAAUUGAAAUCAUAAGAACUUGCAUAUAAAUUGGAAGCCAGUCUCAAGAAUUUGGUUAUUUUAGUGUUGAUCUUAUUUCCUUUGAUAAUGGUUUUGAUGUUCAGUAGCACAUAUGAUACUUCCAUUUAUCCAUCUUUUAUGAUACAGGGAUUUCGGUUGGCAGCAAAGAUAUGCUCGGUUUUGUGGAAGGGUUGUAGUUCUUUCAAUUCUAUCUCUGCUACUUUAUCCUUUCCUCUGGGCAUGGACUAUAAUUGGUACUCUGUGGUUCACUAGCGCAAGAAGCUGUGUAAGUUUCUCAUGUUAAUUUCGUCCUUUUCCUAGUAUACCAAAACAGUUUAAAGAAGAUUGUGUUUAAAAUAUAUUGCAGUUGCCCGAAGAAGGUCAGAAGUACGGGUUCCUUAUUUGGUUGCUUUUUAGCUAUUGUGGUCUCAUCUGCAUUGCAUGCAUGUCCAUCGGGAAGGUUUGUUUUCUUUAUUUAGUAUGACUUCAAAAGAUAGAGAAAAAAUUUAGGUGGAAGUUUCAUGUACAUUUUGCAAAUGGUCAAGGAUUUAAUUACUGUUCUUUCAAAAUGAUGAACUGUAUGGUAAGAUCAUCCAAAGAUGAAGCUUAUGCUUGGUCUUUGUGUUAUAUGUUUUAACAAUUUAUUGUUAUAAAAUAUAUUUUGCAGUGGAUUACUAGAAGACAAGCUCAUCUAUUGCGUGGUGCACAACAGGGGAUACCUAUCUCACAGUUUGGGGUAAGGCUCAGCAGAAAGUGUCAUGUUUUUUUUCCUGUUUUACCCCUUUUGACACAUUAAUAAUACCCUGAAAUGUGCAGGACUUUUUCUUUUUUCAAAUAUAGAAUAUGGAUCAUGGGUUUUGUUGACUUGUGUAAACUAGGUAGAGAUACAUUUUUCUUGGUAGGUUUAGAUCACUUAACAUUUCUCUUUUUGGCAUCUUAACUGGCAGCAAGAUAUUUUAUGUAUCUGAUGUGAUGUGCCAGUUCAUAUCAUACUAUUAUGUUUGAUAAAUAAGUUGAUUUCUAGGUUAUUGAACACUCUUUUUUGCAGGUGUUGGUUGACAUGAUCAGGGUACCAGAUUGGGCAUUCGAAGCAGCUGGGCAAGAGAUGAGAGGCAUGGGCCAAGAUACUGCUGCAUACCACCCAGGGCUCUACUUGACGCCAACUCAAGUAGGCCAAGACUGUUCUAAAUCAGUUUAUAUUAAGGAUGAAGUUUCUGCAUGCAUGCACUUGUUAGGCUUAUAACACUUGAAUUCAUAAUAUGGACUUUUGAUAAAUCAUGUGUACACACACAAUUAUAAAAACAUGUGUGUAAUAGACUUGUGCCAUAUGAAGUGUAACACCCACUUUUGUAUUUAUCAUUAUUUGGAUGGAAUGUGUGCAACUUUUCUUGGUAAUCACUUUUUAACUGUGGAAGUUCUUUUUCUGCUGGCAGAGAGAAGCAGUGGAAGCGCUUAUUCAGGAACUGCCAAAGUUCAGGCUUAAGGCUGUUCCAACCGAUUGCAGUGAGUGUCCAAUCUGUUUAGAAGAAUUCCAUGUUGGAAAUGAGGUAAUUGUUUCUGUCUAUGGUACUUUUAGAUGGCUGUUUUUUUUUUUCAAACGAUUUGGAGAAGAUUUGUAGAUUCAUUCUGCCAUUGUGUUCCAUCUAGGACAUAGACAGUUGUAUCUUUUGAUUUUUUUCAGAGAAGUUGCUGUUUAGAAUAGCAUGUGACAUAGGAUUUAUUGACGUAACAUGGCGCUGAAAACAACCAAGUGACAGUUCACUAAGUAUCAGUUAUCCAUCUUCUUGUUCAUUGGUAAUUGUACUAAUGCAUGUUCAAUGCAGGUUAGAGGUCUUCCUUGUGCUCAUAAUUUCCAUGUGGAAUGCAUUGAUGAGUGGCUUCGUUUGAAUGUAAAAUGCCCCAGAUGUCGAUGUUCCGUCUUUCCAAACCUUGAUCUCAGUGCACUAUCCAGUAUUCGUGCUGAUAGUGAUCACUCACCGGCUGCUGUUGUGACAGCAGCUCCUUAUGUUAGAACACAACCUCCUAGCCAAAGCUAUUUGCUGAGAUUGCAGGGCUUGCUUCGGCAAGUUGGUACAGAGAAUGGCGGGAAUGCAGAUUUGGCUUUAGAAGCUGCUGAAAAUGGUGUUUUGCCUGUACUAAUGCAGCCAAACAGAAGCCCUGAGCCUGGGCGAAUGCGUUCCUCCUCACUUGAACACUAAUGUGAAUGGUUUUGCUGCAGUCUUACAAAUUUUACUUAUAAUAUAACAAGCAACAAAAUGGGACUAAAGAAGAAGUGUAUGGAUAGUUUAUGUUUUUGGAGUCAAAAACUGUAGUGGCAGUUUGGGCCACCAGUCGGAGAUGGUGCUUUAUUGUUGUGCAUAUUUUCAAGAAUUAUGUGAGAUUUUUGGCCCAGAUAUCUAAUUGUGUAUUUGAAUUACAAAUAUAGGAGUAGUUACCAGUAUUUUGCAGUCAUAUUGAUUUGUGUAAGUUGUGUGUGUUUAGGGCAAUACUCGUCUUUAAAUUCUGUAUAAGCCAAUAGUCAUGGUCUUUAGGAGACAAUUACAGUACACAUGAAAAGUUUUCUUAUUUAUUAUAGACCCAAUUGCAUUCCAUUUUUUUGUUGAAAAAGGAUCAAUAAUUUAUUGAAAUUCUUUUAAUUCUCUAUCUGGGAUGAUAUUCAUUUUUCGUAUAAACAAGUCCUCAGUGUUUUGAUGGAGUAACUAUUUAUUUUCUUUCUAUACCGUGAAUAUUACAUCCUAAACCAAAAUCAGUGUUAAACGGUGAGAUAACAAAUAACAAUUUUUUUUGAAGUGAUGACUCAGAAGUUCAAAUUUUUGGACUUAAUAAUUUGAAAAUAGAUUUGAAAUAGAUUUCGAAAGUUCUCUUACUUCAAAUAAUAAAAUUUCAAAAUUUUACAAAAAAGAACAUUUUAAAUUUCGUGUGGCGGAGAUUUUGGAAAUUUUUGGUAUUAUUUUUUUUCUUAGACCAGAAAGCUUGGUAUGAACCCACUAAGUUUGAAGAGAAACGGUAGAUAUCCCAAAUUUUUCUCAAGUUGUCGAUACAUUGAUGAUUAUUUUUUUAAUAAUAAUAAUAUGGAAUUCCGCGUAUAUACAUAUGCCCCCAAAUUAAAAAUUUGUCGUGUGUUAGGUCACAUCAUUAAACAUAAAUUAUUUGGGGUACUUGGCCCUAGUCAAAUUUGAAACUAACUGCUUAAGUAAAUGUUUUUAUCAAAUAUUCAAAGACUUGAAUGAACUUUGUUCUGUUUUACCACCAGAAAUCCCACAAAUGACAUACAACUGAAACUGAUAUGGCUGAGUCUAAACUAGAAGCAUUGGAAUAUUAAUCUUUUAUAGCCAGAACCUAACCACUAUUCUGUUGAAUAAGAUUAGCUUGAUAAAAUGAGACCUAUGCACAGGUUUGACAUAGAUUUGAGGAACUGAAAUGAUGUAAAAGAGGAUGUUUGUCCUAAGAAAGAUGUUUAACUUGAUGAGAAGAACAAAGUAGUGAAGUUAAGAUUAAUUGAUAAAGGAUAAAGGAUAAAGUUGAUAUUCCCUCCUCCCUUGGGUAUUUCUUUUGCUAGCAAUCACCAAUUCUUCCUUUUCGCUGUUGCAACUUGCUUGUUCAAUCUUUACUUGAUGCUACAAAAGACUGCACCAAAUAAAUUUUUCGCUUUAUUAGCUCAUUAAUAUCAACACACAUUGCAGAUACAGAAUUCAGGUUGAAAUGCUCAUGGUAAGCAUGAGCUAAGGGAACAGAAGACUCACAACUAAACAAAUUACAAAUGGCUGGUUACAUUCAAAACAGUUGCCCUGCAGCAGGGCAGGAACAAAGUGGCUUCGGUUAUAUAGGAUUUAGGUCUGGAUCAGCUGUCCAGAAUCCGCUUAUUAAGGACAAUAACACAAGUAAACUGAUCAUACCAUCUUUAUAUUGAACCUUUGCAGUCAUUUAAUUCGACAAUUGUCAAAUGACCUUUUCCUUCUUUGUAUGAUUCUCAAUUUUUACAAGGCACCAUUACCAGAAAGGAUGCAUCAGGACUCUAGUGUAAAGAUAACUCAGUCAGACAACGGAACCAGUUACCAAACAGAAAAAUCACAAAACUUAUUACUACCCUUAACCUUUGCCAAACUAUUCUAUAUUAGUUUCACUUAUAGAAUGACCCACUCUGCUAGUCUUUCAAAUCUCAAAAGGACUUGCAGACUUCCGACACAAAGGUCAGAAACCGUGUUCCAUACACAGUCUCGAGAACUAGAAGACCUCUAGAUAACUGGUGGUGAUGCCAUGAGUACCAAAAAGUUGGACAUUUGUCAUAACAUCGAAGAAAAAGGUUAUUCAAAUUCCCCUAUAAAAAAGACCCAUAUAUAAUUUAACAGCUCUAUAAACAUCUCCAUACCUUGUUCCUGUAAGAUCUUAUGACGGUUGCUAACAGUUUGUCUCCAGCUAUAUGUCGAACUCGCUGUAUUAGUUCAUGCCGUGAGAUCUUAUUCUCCUGGAGUGAGCAUCAAACAAUAAGUUUGUUAGACAAGGAUGGUGCAAUAAAAGCUGAAUAUUACAGAUUUCUAAAUCCAUACUCUAUCAUUGCGGUGAAGCUUGAGAUUCAAACUGAUAAGAACUUACUCUAUUAUCACGGUGAUGCUUGACGAUCAAAUUGAUUGCAUCAGGAGGCAAGAUCUUCGCCAAACUAGCAAUUAGAGUUGGAAAUGGCAUCCAAGGUGAAGUUGGCUUUCUUUGGGAAACCUGAAUCCUCUGAUAAGCUGAACAAAUUGAAAGGGCAAGCAUAAUCAAUACUCAAACCAAGCAUGCGAAUGAACUUAAUUAGUCGGGUGAUCACUCACCUUCUGUGCAAUUUUGAGCUCUGAAAGUGAUGACAAAUUGUGGCAAAAUGUGGGUGUUCAUCAGAGUAGGCCAGACAAUAUACUUGUUUGGAUGUACUAAGUCGUCGACUCCAGAAUCAAACUCACUGGAACUUGGAUGAGAUUGUUGGGAACCAGGGUGGACAAGUUCCAGGUUCCCCAAAAGAACUUGACAGAGCAGAAGAUGCCUCAGUCCAGCAUCAUCUUCCACAGCAAAUUGCAAACUAUAAGCACAUAAAAACCCACCCAUUAAUUACCUCACAAGAACUUAAACUAAAAAUAUACUCCUUCCGUCCUCUUUAACAUGACUUUUGCCCAGUCAAAUUGACUAUAUUUUGUCUGAAAUUUACAUGUAUCAUAUAAUUGAAAAUAAUAAUAAUAAUAAUACCAUUAGAAAGUAUAUUUAGUUUAUUUUAAUAUGCAACUUUCAGAUUUUAAAAAUAAUGAAUAAAUAAUUUGUAAUGUUUAGUCAAAAAUUGGUCAAUUUGCCUCCUCGAAAACCAAAAUGAACAUGUAAAAGAGGACAGAAAGAGUCCUAUUUACGAAAAACAGAGUUCAACAAAGUCACUGACCUUUCAAAGGGAGAAUCAGCGGGAGACAGAUAAACCCCAGAAGCAUUUUGAGUCAUUUGACCAAAACCAUAAGCAAGAAUGUUGUGAAUUUCAUGCUUAGAACCACCAUACCAAGCAUACUUCACAUUGGCAUCCCCUCCAUUCUUCCUCUCCAGAGCUCUUUGAAACAACCGAAACGACUGAAACCGAGCUUCACAAGUAAGACCCGAAAACAGAUUCCUAUGAAUGGCCUCAGCUCUGAAAUUCCCACCCAAGCCUGAAACAAGCUUUCGAGCAAUAGUUUGGAAUAGAGCUGUAUCUUCAUUCACCUUGAUCAUUGAUGGAAACUCAGAGUUUUCACAACCACUACUACUACUACUACUACUACUACUACUACUACUACUACUACUACUACCUGGAAUCACACUACUCUCACAGUCAGAAGCUGAAGAAUCUUGAUAAUCAUGAUGAGUGUAAGAUUCUUGAUCACUAGUGUAUUCAUCAGAAGCUAGAGCCCUGAUCUCAGUUAAACUUCCAACUGGAACAUAAUAUAACUGGAAACGAGGUACCAUAAUAUAGGUGAGAGGUGAACAAGUUGUAAAUUGUAAUAACAAAGUGUAGAAACAUAAAACAAGUAUGCAUGUACAUAUAUAGUGGAGAUUGGGGUGGGGGCAUUUCUUGAAGAAGAGGGUUUUGCUACUUGAGGUAGUACCGUUGUUUAUUACUCAAAAAAUCAACAAACCAGACCAAACCAAACCAUCGGUGAUGAUAUAAUAAUAUUUUUAUGUUAUUUGCACCCAGAAAUAGAAUGGGCGGCCGCAAAUUGUUUAACUUUGUGUCCACGCACACAGAUUUUACUACCAAGACAACAAUGGUCUCCCAUUUAUAUAACUUUCGCCUUCGUGAUGGGUGCAACAUUUUGUAUUGGAUGAGUUCUAACAUAAGUAGGAUAGUGCCGAGCUCAUAUUUGGUAGAUUUUUAAUAUUUUUAAUCAAACUCCUCUUCAAUUUACUUGUGUAGUUUUAUUAUUUUAUAAAUCAAUUAUCAGUUGGUCCAUUGUAUUAUUGGAUGGUUUUGAACAUGGGUUUUGGUCCCCACAACCAUUUGUUAGGAAAACCUUAUCUAAAUGCAGCUUCAUUAUCAUCACAUUUGUAUUUCAAGAGUCUAAAUUAAAUUAUUUUGUUUACCGAUCCGUUAUAAUUUUCCGCGGAUCGGAAUUUUUCCUUUAGCGGAUCGUUAAAAAAAGUUUCAAUCUGUACCCUUGAAAUAAUGAUCCGACAUCUGUUAGAUAAACUGUUUCUGACAAAUGAUUGUCAGGUAUGAGGCUCCUUCUUUCUAAAAUCCAUUUUUGUGUGUGACAUAAAAUGAAACACGUUGAAAAUAGAAAGAGAUUCUCAGACUGCAGAUGGUCUCAGCUCCGUACACUCAUCCUAAAAUCAUGAUGCAUGAACGUAUGAGAAUCUUGCCCAAAACUUUUCUCCUUUUCAAUGAACUAACUAAGAAGUCGCGGGUUGUAGUGGCGUAUAAAAACUAUAUUAAUGAUUUAAAAUCAAUAUUUGUAGAAUAAAAUAAAUUUAUAUUAUAAACAUCUCGAUGCAAUACCAAUAUUAAUAUAUAAAAUUAUAAAAUUGGACUAUAAUUCAUGAGUGAAAAAUUGAAAAUAAAUUUCUACAUGUAAUUAAUAUUAAUAAUAUUUUGUAUGGAAAAAAAAUACUUGAGAGUAUAUCCUUAUCAUGAAUAUGAACAUUAAUCAUGUCGGGACGUAUGAACUCAAAUCCAUGCAGGGGUAUAUUAAGGAGUCCAUGAGAUAGUGGUUUAUAACUACUCUUACUUGCAACAACCAUUAUUUUUUUAAUAUUGUAUAAACAACCUUCACUUAAAAUGUGUUAGAACCGAGCAAACAGAUAUUGUGAAAGUGUUACAUGAAUAAUAUUUUCGUUUAUACAAAGUAAACCAUAUAAAAUUAAAAACAAACAUGUAUGAUGAACAAACCAAAUAUUAUAAAAGGAUAACCAACAAACAUAUAUGACUAACAUUAAUUUAUUAACCUCUUCAUCCAUCAAUAUCAUGUCAAGACUAUAUUUUCCUCUCGUGUUUGGAUUUGUCGACUCCACAUUCUGACAAACUCUUACUAUUAUCAGCCAAUCAUCUAUAUUGUCAUUCAAAACUCUAGCAUAGUAUAGCUCAUUAUUAUAUUAGAUGGAGAAAAUAAAUAGGCAUAAAAAAUUAUUUAUGUUAAAAUUUAUGAUGUUUAACCUCAAUUUAUACGGGUUGAUUUGAGAAAAGGCCGGCUUAUCAAAAAUAUUUUCUAUUUUUAAGAUACACCUGUUCCAAAAAUAUGAUCAUGGUUUUGGAAGAAAAGUAAGUCUUUUUCUGUAUCAAAAUAAUUGAAAAGAAAUUUCAAAUUAUGAUUUGAUAUUUAUUAAGGUAGGUACAUUUUAUUUUUGAUCUAUUGAAAAAGUAGUUUUGAAACUUUUUCCAAUAUAUCCGAAACUAAAAAAGGUAAUUUUUAUUUUUGAUAUUUUUAAAAUUAAAAUCAGAAUUUGAAACUUUCUUCCAAUAAUUUUGAUACUAGAAAAUGUAGGUAGAUUUUAUUUUUGAUAGUUUGAAAAAGUUAGUGCUGAAACUUACUUCCAUUAUAUUCAAAACUGAAAAAGGUUGUUUCCAUUUUUGAUAUUUUUCAUCCAAAAAUUACAAAAAAUUAGAAAAAUAGAACGGAACUAUAGAACGGAACGGAACGUCUAAAUUUGCUGCUGUUAGGACCGAGUCUAGUUGGAAUCAACCGUCAACAACCAUAUCCUCUACCACCUCUUGAUUCAUGCAUUCCAGAAGGACUUAAAUCUCUUGUGUGUCUUUUAAUCCUAUAUCUAUUAUUUUCUGGAGGAAGAAGUCUGUUGAUCCUGUUACUAUGUCACUUGAAGAGAGAGGAGAGCUGCCAUCUAACGACAUCUUGAAAGCACUCCUUCGAUUCAAGUGUUUAGUAAAAAAAGAAGAUAAGGUUUCUCUCAUACCUCUUUUGGAACUUCUAAAGCUGAUGAUGGCAGUUGAAGCUAUGCAUAAUACUAAGAGAGUUCAUGGUCAUCCUUCUCGAAUUAUCAUGACAAUCGAAGGUAUGAAACUGAAACUGACUUUCAAGAAAUUGAAGAAGAUGAAGCAUCUCACCUCACUGGAGAAGUUAAAUAAGAAAUUUGAGAAUCCUCCUCCAAUCAAUGCUUUGGAACAAUUAGCACUUAAUAUCAUAACUGCUAGAAUUCAUGAGAUUGAAAGCAUGUGCACACAAGUUCGGGAAGAGAGGACUGCUAAGAAAAUAGCAGAUGAAGCAAAGAUCAAUGCAAAAGCCAAGAAGUCAAAGAUGAAUUAGUUCAGUCUAGAGGAACAUUGACUAUUUGUAUUUACUUUCGAAUUCUAGAAAAUAUAGGAUAUAAUCUAGACUAUACUUAGUAUUAUUUCCUGUUUAAUUAGUGUGCUUUUUCUGUGUUAGUUAAGUUAUCCUUUAAAGGAUUUGCUCGUCAAAUUUUAACAAACAAACUAGCGUAAAAGCCCGUGCAAGGCACAUGCCUCAAUUUUAGCUCAAUUUUUACUACAAUAUAUAUUUGAACACCGGCUCCAGAAAAAAGUCUGAAAAAUAGCUAAAACUUUCAGUAUGAAUAAGAAUUUUAAAAAAUAGAAGCAAAUACCCAAUGAGAGUUGAGGAAUGAGUAAGGAGGGUUAUUGGAUAAAUCUAAAACUAAAAAAAAGGAGGGAUAUAAGCAAGUGCUCAAAUACAAACUUGUUAUUGUACAAACGUACAACCAAUCACUAAUUGAUUUGAACGGAAUCACUAAAUGUUUGAACAGAAUCACUGAACCCACAACCUUCCCUUUACUGCUCUCUCCUCCUAUCAUUGUCGCCGCUGCAACUGCAGUUCGAUCUUGAUCGGAAUCAACCAUGGCACUCCCCUACCUCCUUUGAAAGCAAAUAAAAGAUGGAAACUUUUUGAGUUACGCAUUACCUGACAUAUGCCACAAAAAGAAAAGACCACAAUGAGUACCAUCUUGUAAAACUAUUACAUAAUAUUUGAUCAACUUCAAAAGUUUUUAAGUCCAUUUAACCAGAUUACGAGGUAAAGAUUAAACUGAUUCACUUAAAAUUUGAGCACACUCUCGCUCCCACUUCUUACACUGAGAAAGUAAGUUUGAGCACUCCAUAGCCAAUUUCUGGUUUUCUUCUACAAAUGUCUUCACAGCUUGGGCAUUCAUACUCGACUCGGCCUAACACUCAUAAAAUCAGUGGACUAAGAACAAAGCAAAAGACUACACAACAGCCAGCAUGAAAGGUACAAUGACAUAAAUCAAAGAAGACACCUGAUAUAUUAUAACAAUUUCUAGGAAAUACAAGCAAAGCAUUAAUAAUAUCAUUUAUUUUUAAUAAAGAAACCGUCCUGCUGCUAUCAUAAUGUGUGCAACAUUAGCAAGUACAUAAAUGAAAAUUUGUCCACUUAUUUCCCUAGUAUUAGAAACAAAGGUAACCUAAAAUUAAAGAAAUCAAGAGAGUAGCGGCUAUGAUUAUGACACUGACUAGAAAGACGAAAACGACAGAGUAUUAUAGCAUAGCACUGGGCAAAAUUUUAAUAUAAAAAUACACAAAGACAACAGAGAGCCUACAAGAAGAUAAUCAUAAGCUAUGGAAAACAAUACAAUCGAAUCCAAGAUAGAUAAUUUCACUAAUAAUCAUCAUCAUCCAAGAAAUACAAAGAGAGAAAACGAAUAUAACAAUUAAGAGUGUGUAAGUAACAAACCCUAAGACAUUGUAUUUGUUGAUCUUUGACGUUAAGAUUGGCUCGCAAAAAGAGAUACUGGCGGUAAAUUCUCCGAUGCGGUUCCUGGGAACCGGAAAAAUGCAUUUGCAGUCGUAAAGAAGCAAGAGAGGUAUAAGGGACAUAAUGUCGAUGCAAUUAACAUGAAUACAUGAUGAUACCUGUAGCUCACGAGAGAGUGCAUGCUUCACUGGAUAUUUGACGUCAGCUGAUAUUUCAUCAUCUUUGUAUUCUGCUUUCUUGUUAUCAGACGUCGACACCAGCUGAUAUUGAAUCUGACUUACCAAUCAUUAUGGGAGUUCCCUGGGUUUCAAAAUGCAAGGCCAGCUCACGACAUUUUUCAGGAAUUUCAUCUCCUGAUCCUACAUUUAUAACAUUACAGCUCACCUGUUUGAGACAAUGUAUACAUUAAUCCUACAUGUAAUGCCUUAAUAUAAAAAGCAGAAUUACCACUUAGAAGCCAUCACUUUUUAUUUUGUUUAAAGUGUUCUGUUUGUGGAUUUUGUUGGCAGGUGGUGAAUCCUGAGCAAGCUUGCAAAAUUCAUCUGGUAUUUAAAAAAAAGGGAUUACUUGUUGCAUUGGUAAAGUAUGAAGGAAAAUUGCAUGGAUUUUGGAAGGUAAUUAUGACUUGACAGUUACUCUUGUACCUUAAAUAUCUUAUAGAGCAUGAAGAUGUUUUGAUUUGUUUUAAAAGGUUAAAUUGCAUCUCAUGGCCAUUGUCAGUGUUAAUCUAAUGAUUUUUCGUAAGCUUGCUUUAUUAAAUUAUUGUUUUCAUAUAGAAACAAGAAAUAAAAUUAAUCUGUAAUCCACAAUAGACAAUUCUCUAGUCACAUUAGUUUUUUUUCCUAACUAAAUCUGUUAGUAUUACACCAAUUCUCUUAUUUUGGAAUCUAUAAUUUGAAAGCAUUUCAUAUCUCGAUAAAUCUUUCCAUUUCUUAAGAAAACUAUUUAUCUAGAAUUUAGGAAGUAACCAAACAACACAGCAUAUAACUACAGAACUGCUCGUCUAUAAAGUACAACAAAGAUAGUCGGGAUCAAGGCACAGAUUCAUGUAGAAUGUAUCUAUUACAGAAAAAAUGAACCCAAAUAUAUUACUAUAGCUGUUUUAAAAAAGCACACUUUAGCAAAGUUAAAAGGACUCUCAAGUACCUGUGUGAAGUGUAAUGCUGGAGCCUAAACCAAGAAAUGAUGGUCUGUAGUGAUCGGUAAGCACAACCCCAACCCUGCGAAGACGCAAAAAUGAACAUAAAAAUAAAGUUAAAUAAGGAAAUUAGUAAACUAAUCACAUGCAACAUCUACUUCUAUAUAUUAUAUGGCGACAAAGGGCAAAAAGAGCUGAAAAAAGGAGCUUGAAAAUAUUAGCUUAUCCCUACAUAUUAUAUUAUUACAAAAAUGCCAUGCUCUGUAUUAUAAUCGUAACGGUCCAAAUAAAUGACCGGCGGGAAAAGAAUCGGGCAGAGUUGAGACAAUCAAAGGUGUACAAACAGCUUGAUUUGGCUGCUAAUUGAAUUCAAUCGUGAAAAAACAUGAGUUACAGAAAGUGAGGGGGCAAGAUAGGUGCUCAAAGUUUAUGAAUGUAUAUUCGGCGCUGACCAAGUAUGGCUCAGCCCGAGCAAAUGCAGCUACAAAUUUACAAAGCUAUUAACAGGAUUAAUAGAUAAACCCAUUGCACCACAAACCUGCUUGCUCACGGGUGAUAUUUUCCGCGGUGUAAUUAUCUAUCAUAUGCAAUUAAGCAAAGAGAUUAAAAUUUUAAAAUACCAAUGAAACGACGCCAUUACCUAACUAAUAUUUUUUAUAUGACCUCUCAAAGACAACUCUGACAUAAAAAUUUGAUGCUGAGUUACGUCACACACUUUGUUGCGCAAUAGCAACUAAUAGCUUAACAGAGUAUAUUGUCAAUUCUGGUUCUAAUACAGCAUGCCAAUAAUAGAGGGGGAAGAUUAUGGAACACUGAAAGACUUACAACGUGAUAUUCAAACGGGGAUUUCCCUUGACGGGUGAAAUGAUCAGACAUUACGCACCACUUAAUUGGUCCCCACUCUUCGAUUUCAAAGCAAUUGCCAAGAGCACAUAUAACUACAACAACAAUAAAGAUAAACAUCUACAUGAUAAACACAUAGUCCAAUCACCACCAAAUAAUCAAGAAUCGAACACACCUUGACAUCAUUAGUCAAAAGCUCUAUUCCAGCUGGGUCCUGUAUAACCCAAAUCAACAAACCAAUAAAACCCCCCAAUUUAAUUUACAUUUCAGAAUUAGAGUUAGGACCAAACUCACAUGUUAUUAGUGUAGGCACAAGUAACAACUGCUGUGAAGCAAUAAAACCCGGUAUGCGACACGAUUCUCUGAAUUUUCUGCACCUUCAAAAUUUCCCUAGACCUAUCAAUAAACCUCAUCGUUUGAUCGGCGUACCAACAAAUUCCUGAAACCCCAGUAGCAAGCGAGCAAUUUCUUUCACACGUUUAAUCAAACAAGUUGUGUGCAUUGAAUUUAACAACUAUUAAAACACAGUAACGUCAGAAAAGAGUAAUAGGUAGAUACGUAUAGAUAGAGAGAGACCAAAAAUGUCGUGUUCGGAGGGCUUCGGCCUGCCACGUUGUUUUGGGGAACUAUCCAUUGGGAGGAGGGGUGUGCUGCGUAAAUCCAAUUUAUACACACACUAAUAUUGAAGCAAACAUUUCCCCUGAAACUCAAUCUUGGCGAGGCAAUCCAUUACCGAACACAAAUUGCGGGUAAGGAGCGGCAAAGAGAAGAGGGACGAUAGAAACCAGCAGAGAGAAUGAAUAAAACAAAGAGACCAGGGCAUCACUGAAAUUCUGUGCAAAUUAAGGGUAUAUUUGUAACUUCACAGGCAUUUUUUUGGCUCUUUUUGCCCCUGGUCCCCUUUUAAUAUAUAGAAGUAGAUACGGGGAGAUUGUAAAGCAUAAUGUAACUCGUAAUGUAAUAGCGAUAACUCAACACUACAAAAGAACAGGAAAUAAUACGUAGGUAUAAUACAGGAAUCAACAGGUUGGAGAUCCGGUACGAACAGAUACCGACAAUCCAGAUAUCUGAGACGAACAUUUGUCCACUGAAAGAUUUUCAUUAACAUGCUCAAGCCUUAGUGAAAAAUAAAGUUCAAGUAGUUUUUACUAUCGAAGAUUUCCUGCCAAUUAAGUUUCAAGAACCAGAAGAUUCCAGUAUAUCUAUAUUGAUUAUUUGUAAUCAGUUUUUCAAAGCAACAUCAAACCUGGAUUGACUGAUCAAGUAUUUCAUUAAGUAAAGAAUACGAAUAUUCACUUCAGUAUUAGUCGUUCGUGAACUAGACCAGUGCACAGGACGUCAUUAUGUACAAAGUUGUUCAACGUAUUUAAUCAAUGUGGAAUUGAUCAAGUCAUGUUCGAGCUGUUCCCGAGUCAACUGAAGUCAAGCGCUUUCGAUUAAAGUCCAAUCAGAAAGAGGCGCCAAAUAUUUGAAUUGACUCAAGAAUUAAUUAAGUAAUAACAUACACACACACACACACACACACACACACACACAUACUAUAGUAGGUGCCACUUGAAGUUUGGAUGUGAAUUUGGCUAAGUCAACAACCCAAAUGGCGACACACUAGUGCAUAUAGUGAUGCUAGGCGCCACUCAGGGUCAAAUCAAGGUCAAAGGCGCCACUCAGGGUCAAAGCAAGGUCAAAGGCGCCACUCAACAUACUGUUUCAUUGUUUGACUAAGUGAGGUAUACUAGUGGCACCACGCCACUCACUAUCCUGAGGCGCCAAUUAGAGUCUAUUACUUGACAGGUGGUACUACACACUUGGAUCGAUUAUGGUUAAAUUAAAAAUAGCUCAAUGGCACCACUCAUUCAUAUACUUAAGUACUGAGGCUCCACUUGCAUGUCAAGGGUGAUUUGUCAAAGGCAAUGUUGAGUACAAGGAAGGACAAGGCGCCACUCAAGAAUGUAUAUAUAUGAAGGCGCCACUUUGAGUUACUCAAACAUCACUUAAGUAUUAACCACCCUUGGCUAAUGAACAGAACUAGGAUCACUAAGACAGAUACUGGAUCACUCUCGCUGAACCUGGAUCAUUCUCGCAGAACCAGGAUCACUCUCAUAGAGCCGGGAUCACUCAGCUAACCUUGGUUAAUGUUGAAGUCUAUAAAUAGGGCUUUGUGUUUUCAUUUGAAAACAAAUACAUCACUUAUAAAGUGCAAACACUCUCUAUACAUGCUCUCAAAGUAUGAAUAUUAAAUAUCUAUUAGGACGACCGUUUGUGUGGAUAGUGAUUUGUAGUCUCUGUCGCUUACCUUGUGUUGGAUUUUUAGCACCCUCGAGGAUUAUUUCUAAAAAAAGAAUAUCCCCCGAACUUGUUGGAGUUAUUUGAUUACUAUUGAUAGGCGAACUUAACUAAACUAUUCCGCAAUCGAAUUAAAACAAAAAAUUUGUAUAAGAUGUAUUCAACCCCCCCUUUCUACGUCUGAUUGGGACUAACAACAUGGAAUUUGUAGCUCUGAUAAAAAGAAUCAUUUUUUUCCAGUUAUUAUAAUCAUCUCUGUCAAAGGGCAACACCUUGAUUCCAAGUUUCUGGGUACUCAUGGUUUUUGAUAAAAUUAUAAUUAGAGUGCGUGGCAAGCUUUUCUAUCUAUACCUAACAAUAUGGAUCUCAGAUCUGUAUAUUAAUCAGCAUGCUCUGAUACCAAUUAUUAGUUCUGAAAUGACGUAGAAGGGGUGGUUGAAUAUGGCACUAUCAAAUUCUUGGUUUUAAUAUGAUUUGCGGGAUGUUCGUUAAUGUUUGUCUAUGUUCGUCAUUUAAUCAUAAUUAAAUAACUCCAACAAGUUCGGGAAAUAUUCGUAUUAAUACAAACCUAUAAUUGUGCUAUAAAUCCAACUCAUAAGUCGGCUACAAGGCAACGGUCCACGAAUCACAACAUCGCUCAACAAUACUAUCAAUCUAUCUUACUAAGCUUUAUAUAAUGUUUUUGAGUAUUGAUUAAAGUAAUGAAAAUUAGGUGAUCAUGUGACCUUUACUACUCAACAUUAAAGCUAACUUUAAUCACAGAAGUUUUUAUGGAAUCUGGUAAACUAAAUUUCAUGCAGCCAUACAUUAUAGCUAAUAACUUCUUGGCUUCGUUCGCUGCUAAGAUGUUGAAUAAUAUAUCAUUUUUUGCAUUCAUUUUAUGUUGUUUUUGCAUUUAUACAAGGUUAUAGAAAUCUUCUUAGCUUAGACAACAAAGGCAAGCGCUUAAGCGGAGCUCGAGACCAUUCGAAGAGAUUUCUUAGAAAAUUAGAAAGUUAUGUUUCUUUUUGUUUUGAAUAAGGAGCUUCGUGGCCAUGUAUAAUGGGCUCGCUUUACAUGGCCCAAAAUGAAAAUAAGCGAUUCUAGUUAAAUUAGCAAAAUUUUAGAUUAGUUAGCUUAGAUAAAUCUUUUUUUAGUAAGGAUUAGGGUUUUGAGACUUACACCAUCAACCUGCAGCCGCAUACAAUCAGAUUCACGAUUCUUCUCACCGACCUCAUAUCAGUUCUCAACCACCAGCUCCACAGUGAUCCAAGUUCAUCUCAGAUUCCAAACAUUACGGUUACUAUGCUUGUCUCCUUUUAUCAUAUAGUAAAUUUGGUUGUUAAUUGAUUUUUAUGUUCAAUUUAGGCAAAUUAAGAUCACUGAUCUUUUACCGACUCCUACAUUAAUGGACGACUAUCUAACAUGUGUUUAUCCAUAAUUUUAGUUUUACAUGUCAAUUUUAUCUUUAUUACUUGAAAUAUUUUUAGACUCUUAAUGAAUGUUGCAUGUGUGUUUUUCUUUAAGAUUAAUUAUAUGUGUUUGUUGUUUUAAUUGUAUAGACACAUUUAUUUGAUGCCAGUUUUUUGACUGAAAAUAUUAGCUGCUCUAAUUGAACUAUAAAUUUAGGAUUUAAAAUAACUUAUAUUAAAUGGAAAUUCAGAGUCUUUCUUAUUUGAACUAUAUUUUUGAUAGUUUCAUUUCCUUGAAAAUGUUAUUUCAAGAUUUGUCAUUGUGCUUUUAAUUCUGUAAUGUAGGAUGGUUGAAUUAUUUUCUUUAAUAAUAUAUGUGUGUGUGUCCAGGGAAGGAGGCAUAAUGGGGGUAAUGAGGUACUUCCCCCGAGUAACCUGUGAAUGGUUUAAUAGUUCUAUUAUAUAAAUUUCACCAAGUGUAGCUUUGCCCCCAUGAUAUAGUCAUGGGUGUUUUUCAAAAGUGAUACGAGUUGUACUUUUGUUCUAAUAUUUUUUGUAUUUCUUAUCAUAAAUUUAUAUAUUUUACUCAUUAAGCAACUCAAAUAACUCUUGGUUAAUUGAAAAUUUUGUGUCUUUAGAGCGAUUUGUUUUUUGUGUGUGUGUAUAUUUCCCCCACACAACUAAAUUCCUAGAUCCGUCCCGAUGUGUAUCCCAAAAUCAAUUCCAACUUUGCUGCCGUCUUAUACAGAUUAGUUAAUGAGUUGAAUACUAAAUUAUUCUCUCUCUUAAGUUGUAAAUAUUGUUAAAUUGAAUCAUGUACUUAUAAAUAUCACAAACUUUGGAGGUAAAUUUGUAGGACAAUGAUGGAGGGAGUAUGUUUUUUAUCAGCGGUUGAUUUAGUGGGUCUGAUGUUUGCAACUUUUGUAUUGGGUAGUUUGAGUUAUCAGAAUAUAUGAUGAGCUAUAUCAUGAUAUCAUAAGCUUAAGCCCUUGAGAAUUUUGAUCAACUUGAAAAGCAGAUUAUGAAUAAGUAACAAAAAGUGUGCUAUAAUUCGUAUUGAUUAUUUUCUAUAUCCAGACUAUCACUGCAUCAAUUUGAUGGAUAUUCCAGAUUCUAGCGGGGAUGGUCUUGGGAGUGGCAACAAUAGGUACGACCUUUUCUUGUAUUCAAACACUCUGAAAUACAUUGAUUUAUAGACUAGAAGGCAAAGUCUCAUGUUUCUUGGGGAGUAAUUAUUCUCGACUUAAUCUUUAUAUGAAUUCAUAAGAAGAUAUAUUCCGCAGAUUUAUCCUUCUCACUGUGAAAUAAUUUCAUUCUAAAGUUUAUAACGCAAAAAGUAAAUUUAGUGCACACCUUCCUUUCAUGAAGGGCUCCUAUUUUGGGUGUAUACUAGCUUAUAAUGCAUAAUUUUAGUAUCAAAGAGGAUAAAAAAGAACUUUUAGUUUAGUAUGUAUGUAGUAUGUAUACUGAAUAUAUAUACAGUAUGAAUGGCCCUCUGAUCAAGUUUAUAAAUGAAAGGGGUCUAUAUAUUUCUAGAUUACUAUUGUUCAAUUUUAAUCUUAUAUGGAGACUAGUACUGGUUUUUAAGCCACUGGUUGAGACUGUGAAACUAACAUAGUGAUCUGGUGGUUUGAGCUAACUUUUUUUUGUAUGCUUCUGUCCAGAAAUCGAAGCCGGAGUCCGAGACAUUGUUUUGAUCGAGCUGAUUUAAAUAUGGUGGGUGACGAAAUUGACAUGUUUCAGAGGGAUUUGAGAAGUUCUGCAGAUAGCCAUGCUCUACGUGAUAACAGAUAUAAAGCAGCCACUAGUCCUGGGGUGAGUGUCUUUGAGCCAAGAGGUGCUAUCAUGGAAGGAUCCAAGAUACUUACGGGACACCAGUUACUGAAACUGAACAAGUCCUUCAGGAAGCCUGAUGUUCAAGAUACAGUAAGAUCAGAACCAUCAUCUUUAGGCCAGUACCUAAGGAGCACUGAGCAGAUUCCAGAUCUCAUCCACAUAUCGGCUCAGAUUCUUGAAGCAAUAAAAAUGCGUCCGGAACUGUAUGCAGCUUUGAGUUCUACGAUCGCACUGAAAAUCUUGCAAUCUUAUGUUUCUGGCUCUGUGGGCCCUGAUGCUCCACCUUCGUCAUCAGUAGACUUAGAUCUUGUUGAUCGUAGUUUGAAGCUGAUAGAGGCUGUAGACAAGGAGCUACAAGCUGAGGUUGCAUUAUCAUCCCAGUUACCUCGUGCUAGUGAUCCAGGGGGUGUUGGUCCAAAUGUGACAGGCUGUGGGAAUGUUGAACUGAUUGUUAACAGGCCUUAUUCAGGUGAAAAAGAUCCUUUUGCUAAAUGGAGCAAUGAAGAAUAUAAACUACCCAACGUAGGAAAAAUAAAAGAAGGAGAAAAUGAAGGUGAAUCCAAUGAUAAGGUAAAAGGCAAUACCGGUGAGCAAAAGGAACCCACUUAUGGGAAAAAUCACUAUGCCUUCAAAUGUGCACUUGUAGAUCUUGUUAAGGAGCUUCUUAGCCCAACUUAUAGCAAAAAUCUCAUCGACAAAGAAUCUUUCAAGAUUACCGUCAAGAAAGUCGUGGAUAAAGUGAUUUCAAGUGCGAAAAGCAUAGACAUACCUUGGACACCAGAAAAUAUCAACAACUAUUUGCUAGUUUCAAGGCCAAAUAUCUCAAGGCUCGUACAGGUUUGUGUUGAUCCACAAAACUUUAUUAAUUUUCAUUCUAUCUCCAUUCAUAUUUAAAGAUUUGUGUCAAAAAAUGUAGUCUUCAGGGUUAUCUUUUCUGUUUGCAUGAAGUUCAUUUAGGUUUUGCUAGAGUUCUUAAAUAAUUAUAGAGUUAAUUGCACCUUGAACCCUUUUGACCGAUUUUUGUCUAUUUUGACCUAUCACUAUUGAAUUUAAAAGGAUGAAAUAGACUCAAGAAUUAACUAAAAUGUAAUGUUAUAGGUUCUUAAGUAUAUUUUAACCUUUUAAUUUAACAUUGUGAUAGGUCAAAAUAGAUGAAAAUAGGCCAAAAUGGUUCAACAUAUGAUGCUAAAAUAUGUUAAGGGGUGUAUUGUACAAUUAUCUACAUUUAGGUAAUAAAGUGCAAUUGGGCCAAUACAACAGGAUGUGUUUUUCAAUUAAUUUAUAAUUAAAUUGUGGUUUGCAUUUGCCAUUAGCAUUCUAUUGUAUUAGUAGUAUUUCUCUUGUCUAGAUUCAAUAAAAAAAUUGUUAGUUUUAAAAAUUUGGUCCAUGUUACACAGAUAAAUUCUUAACACUAUAUAUGUUGGUGUGUUUUGUUCAUUUAAAUCAAAUUCAAGUACUGCUAUCUAGUGUAAGGAUUUUAAUUACUUGGUCAGUGUCCUCAAUCUCAUAUUUGUUUGUUGUUGCUAAAGUUUAUCUUCUGCUAUGAAAAAAUAGAAAAGGGCUCAAUUAUGAAAUUUCAGCUCUGCAUAAAUUCUUUUUGUAAAGCACUGAGGGUAAUCUCAUUACAUAUCAUCUUCAGAUGUGAAUUAAAGAAACUGCUGAGUUGUGUCUAAGAAAAUUUUAGUUUGAAAAUAGUUUUAAGUUGCACUUUUAUCUACCCUAAAUAUGUAUCUGCGUGUAGUUUGUGUAAUAUUUAUACAUCUAUAUUGAUAUGACAGAAAACUGCACAUAGAACUUUUAUAUAUACAAGUGAGAGACAAAAUCCUUGUGUGGCUACUCCAACUGCUUCCCGAGUUGCUUGUUUAACAGUCAUGCACCUCAUUUGUUAAAAGAAAGGAUGCCACUUAAACUCACACAACUCAAGUAUUUAGAAGAAGAAGAUUUUAUAUAAGAAGUAUUGCUUGAAAUUACUUGAUUACACUGACUUGCUACAAGGCUUUAUUUAGGACUUCAUACAAGGAUCUACAUACUUAAUUAAUUGCUAGAUAACUCUUAGAAUCCAAGAGACUUCACUUGAACAUUCUAGAUAUUGCAUGUACCGAGACCAAUACAUUGAAUAAAAAAAAAUACUAAUACAUGUACCAAGAUCAUUCUAAAAACACCCAAAAUCUUUCUAUUUUUAAUAGUCAAAAAUACAUUAUUUAUUUUUAACAUUAUUUCUUGUGUGAUCCUCUUUUCUGUUGUUGGUGGACGGUGGUGAUAUACCAAGUUGCCAUUUACUAGCUAAUCUUGACUUCUUAUAAUAUUAUCAGAAUCCCCUGCUUUUAGUGCAAGUAGGUAAUGAAUUUAUGGUUUCUUACUAUCCAUUUGUUUCUUGUUCUGCAGGAGUACGUAGAGGGAUUUGGGAAAAAAACAACAAGUGCAGCAUGAAAACUUUUUGGGCUUCUUAGGUAUUUAUAACCUGGAGGUUGGAACUAUAAUUCUUGCUGAAUGUUGAGCAGUAAAGCUCUUUUUGAUGUAUUUUCUUUAUCAAAUUUAUGACCGAUAGAGAAUAUUGAAUUAUUUUGUUCUUGAUAAUAGUAUAUGAACUUUUGAAAGUUGGUUUGUGUUGGUUUAACUUGAAAAAUUGGUGUGCUUGCACCAAGCCCACAAUAAUUAUGGGGCUGAUUAUGCUUUUAUGGGAUAGUAAACAUGUGUGUUCUUUAUUAUAAAAAUAAGUUCCUAUAUAUUAUGUAAAACUUAUUUUUCUAAAUAAGAUUAAUAUAUGUAUAUGAACCAACUGUGUUUAUCCGAGUCUUAAUCUAAUUAAAUAUUUGCUUGCAGAUCAAUAAAUCAAGACAUGAAUAGAUGACUCGAUAAGUUCAAACUUGGCUAAACAAUUGUUUUUAACUUCUCACAUGAUAAGUAAUUACUGUGAUUUUUUAUGUAACUCUAACUUUUCGUGUAACUCUUACAAUCGACUAAAUAGUAAAUAGGUGAAAAGAUCCAUAUUAUUAUAAUUUGUGAAAUCAUAUACCUAGAGGAUAGGUGAACAAGUAUAAUGGCUGUUUAUUGAUUAUCAAUACAAUUUAUCAACUAAGUAUGCUGAUUUUGGAAAAACAUUAAUAAGUAACUUAUUGAAAUAAUAACUAAUUAACAGGUAUACAUAUUGGUCCUUGCCAACAUGGCAACAAAAUAUAUAUUUUUUGAUCUUAAAAUAAACACAAUUUUAAGCUACAAUAACUUAACUCCCUUAACUCAACUGCUUGACAAUAGUUUGAUGAACUGUUGUUCUAGUUUCUUGCUUACUACGAUCUAUACUACCCCCGCAUAACCUUAUCUAGCAACGAACCCCAAACCCUGUUUCUAUAUCCCACUAUCAAUAACUCAAGUUUACACCUUGAACAAUACAGAAAGAUGAGUAAAAAUUACAACUCAAAUGAUUAUGAAUUCUACACACACAUAUAGAGUUAAGUUCCAUGGAGUAGACAAAAUAUUGGAAUAUUAGAGUAGAGAAUUGAAAAAAAAAUAUAAUCUAGUCAUCUAAAUUUAAAUUUUUUUUGUCCUGCAAUACUUGUAAACAUUUGACAACCUGCAUAUUAUGUUCUACAAUAUAAAGAUUGUAAUCAAGAUGUAGAACCAUUACUCUUAUAAAUCAGAGAACACUAUGUUCUGCAAUAUAACUAAUAAAUCUUAAUACUUGUUAAAGUUGAAAAAUAUUAUUGAUUGAUUGAUAAUUUUGUGUAAGACAUUUUAUAUAUGAUGAAUUACACAAAAAUUUGGAUAAUGAAGGAUAUUAUUUUUGAUUAAACUAAAAUAUUGUAACUCGUACUCCAAUACUCCAAUAUUUUGUCUAGUCCAUAUAUGGAACUUAACUAUAUAUAUGUAUACAUACAUAUAUAUAUAUAUAUAUAUAUAUAUNAUACAUACAUAUACAUAUGAACUUCCAGAAUCAUCACAAAGCGAAGAAAAUUUUCUAUAUAGAUUUCAAGAGUUGUAUGAUCAGGUGUAUUUUAGAAGAACAAGAACACCUUUAUUUAUAUUUCAUAUAUAUAAGGAUCAUUAAUCCAUAAUACUUGCAACGGUCUUCAUUAAUAAAUCUCACGUUCAAGUUGUUUAGGAUAGGCGAUAGUUGUGAACGUUAAUUAGCAAAGUUUGAUAAGAAGAACGAUUGGAGAAUUAGUUUGAAAACGCGUGGAAGGGAUUUCAUCUAAUAAUUAUGAAAAUGAUUUUUUUACUUAAAAAACAGCUCUGGAUAUGUAAAUGAUCAUAUCAUAUAUGUAUAUUGAUCUUUACAGAGAUUUACUAGAUUUACUAGAUGAUUUCCACAAUAGUCGUGAGUUUUCGAAAAGACAUCUUCGAUGAAAAAAUUAUUUUUGUAUUUGUAUAACAUACAUAAAAUAUAAAUAGACUUAAAAUUCUCUCCAAUUGAACGUAUUAUUUAAUUAAUUCUAUCAAAAGUCAAACAGUCAACUCUCAGCAAGAACAUCCUUUCAUAUAUAUAUAUAUAUAUAUGAGGAAGAUCCUAAGAAAACNNNNNNNNNNNNNNNNNNNNNNNNNNNNNNNNNNNNNNNNNNNNNNNNNNNNNNNNNNNNNNNNNNNNNNNNNNNNNNNNNNNNNNNNNNNNNNNNNNNNNNNNNNNNNNNNNNNNNNNNNNNNNNNNNNNNNNNNNNNNNNNNNNNNNNNNNNNNNNNNNNNNNNNNNNNNNNNNNNNNNNNNNNNNNNNNNNNNNNNNNNNNNNNNNNNNNNNNNNNNNNNNNNNNNNNNNNNNNNNNNNNNNNNNNNNNNNNNNNNNNNNNNNNNNNNNNNNNNNNNNNNNNNNNNNNNNNNNNNNNNNNNNNNNNNNNNNNNNNNNNNNNNNNNNNNNNNNNNNNNNNNNNNNNNNNNNNNNNNNNNNNNNNNNNNNNNNNNNNNNNNNNNNNNNNNNNNNNNNNNNNNNNNNNNNNNNNNNNNNNNNNNNNNNNNNNNNNNNNNNNNNNNNNNNNNNNNNNNNNNNNNNNNNNNNNNNNNNNNNNNNNNNNNNNNNNNNNNNNNNNNNNNNNNNNNNNNNNNNNNNNNNNNNNNNNNNNNNNNNNNNNNNNNNNNNNNNNNNNNNNNNNNNNNNNNNNNAUAUGAUAUGAUAUUUGUUCAAAUAUAUGUUGAUGAUAUUAUAUUUGGUUCUACUAACGAUAACUUGUGCAAGAGAUUUGCUAAGUUGAUGCAGAGUAACUAUGAGAUGAGUAUGAUGGGUGAGCUGUCCUACUUCCUUGGUCUUCAAGUAAGCCAAAAGGAGAUGGAAUAUUCAUUUGCCAAUCCAAGUAUGUCAGAGAUCUUCUUCGAAAGUUCAAUCUAGAAGACUCUUCACCGGCAAAGACACCCAUGGCCACUGCCACAAAGCUUGACCAGGAUAAAUCUGGUAAGAAAGUUGAUAUCACAAGCUAUCGUGGUAUGAUUGGCUCUCUACUUUAUCUUACUGCAAGUAGACCAGAUAUCAUGUUUGCAACAUGUUUGUGUGCUAGGUUCCAAGCUGAUCCUAAGGAAUCACAUCUUAUAGCCGUCAAAAGAAUCUUUAGAUAUCUUAAGGGUACACCUGGUUUAGGUAUUUGGUACCCUAAGAAUACUGGUUUUGACUUAACCGGCUAUACAUAUUCUGAUUAUGCAGGAUGCAGGAUUGAUAAGAAAAGUAUGUCUGGAAGCUGUCAAUUUCUAGGACGUCGAUUGGUUUCCUGGUAUAGCAAGAAGCAGCAUUCAAUGUCUACUUCUACUGCUGAAGCUGAGUAUAUAGCCGCUGGAAGCUGCUGUGCUCAGAUACUGUAGAUCAAAAACCAAUUGAAUGAUUAUGGUAUUUCUGUCAACAAAAUUCUAAUAUUUUGUGACAACACAAGUGCCAUAGCCAUUUCCAACAAUCUGGUUCAACAUUCCAGAAACAAGCACAUAGAUAUCAGGUAUCAUUUUAUUCGACAACAUGUCAUGAAUGGUACGGUGGAGUUACAUUUUGUACCCACGGCUGAUCAAAUCGCUGACAUCUUCACUAAACCACUUGAUGAAUCCACUUUCUCUAAGUUGGUUUGUGAGCUAGGGAUGUUAAAUAUGACAUGAUUCUCACUGUAUAUAUUUUUAAUAUGCUUUAUAUAUUUUUAUAUAAUUUUGUGGAUUUUUUGUGUAAUUAUAGGUAUUUUAUUAGAUUUUAUAUGAUUGUCUGUAUAUUAUUUGAUAAUUAACUGUGUAAUUAUGCAUGUUUAUAUGUUUAUCUGUAAUUUUCUAAAUGCAUGCAUACUCCCCCGUAUUAUUCUCUAAGCAUUUAGAUAAUUAUUUGUAUUUAUUUUGUAUUUUUCAAAAUUAAUUAAGCAUAAAUAUUUGAAUUUAAGUUAAUUCAUUUGUUUUUGAAUUAAAGUUAAGUUCAUAAGUAUUUAUAUUUAAUUAAAGUUGAAUUUUACAAAAUAUAUGUGUAAUAUUUAAUAUUGUUUGUAUAUUAGAUUUUUGAUUUAAUGUGCAAAACAUUUUAUCUCUUUA